UUUGUGGUCCUCCCACCCGAACUUACAUUCAAACCCAGCGAGUCCUUCUGUGUUACAAUAUCUUGAAAUCUGCCAUUGAUCUCUUUGAUUUUGGACAUCAUGGCGUAAUCGAACUGAAUCGAUUGUGGAGUAAAAGUGGUGCAGCAAGUAGGAAUGAGCUUCCGAAACUUACUUGUUCUUGUACGACUGCAACUGGGUUGAUCAUGAGCCGCAGCUGGAUCUCCAUUUCCAAGCAGCAACUUCCUCCGGAAAGCCUCAGUUUGAAACUCAUCCAGCAAGUCUUCAACAUCAAAAGCCAAGUUCUGAAGCUCGCCAAGCCACAACUUUACAGACUGAUCAGUCUUCUUCUCCUCAGCAUCAGCAAGCACCGCCUUGAUUAUCAUCAACAUAUUCUUCCACUUCUUUAGGUCGGCUUGGAUUUGCUCUUGGCGUGCAAACAGCCGAAUCCCCUCCGAAGCUAACUUAUUGACCAGCAAAUCAACGGACGCCGUAAGAAUUGCCUCUCCGAUGAAUGACAUUUUUUUCUUCUUUUUCUUUUUUUUUGGUUUUGCAAAGAAAGAAAGGAGCAGAAUUAUGGGUUAUGGAAAGCAGAAUGAGAAAAUGGAUAAUUAAGCAGAAUGAGUUUGUGAUUGUGAAGGGUCUGGCCCAGCAAGCUUAGUAGAAAUCACGCGUUGAUACUUUAUUGACCAAUGACUAAUAAUUUGGCAAUUCACUCAUCACCACCACUUGGUAAGCAAAAUGAAAAUGCUUAGUAAUUAAGUGUCAAGGGUCAAGCAAAAUACGACGUAAAAUGUGUCAAGGGUCUCCCCACUUGUUGUUCCUUGCAGCUUAGAAAAGAAAAACAGAGCCCACGACCCAUUAAUAUUUAGCCGCCCACCAAUCAUCACCACUUGUUACGAAACCAUCUCAUAAACCAAGUUCGUAGGUCGAGCAGUUAAUCCAGUGUCUAUGUCCUAGAACCUUCAUCUCAUAAACCAAGUUCAAUCAAAACGUUCCUCUCUAUAUAUUUUUUUUUUCAAAACUCCUAAAACGUUUCUUUUUAGAGACAUUUUACUUUAUUCAUCUCAUAUGUUAUCUAACAAAUAGACACAAUUGAAAUCACUCUAAAGUGAAGAUGAAAGGGGAAACAAAUAACCUUCCGACCACCAGUAAUUUAGCAAGCUUCACUUUAUUCCACCAAAGUGUAAAUAAAGCCAGCCCCCACCACCAUCAAUAAUUUUGCAAGCUUCACACGCUUGUUGUCUUCUCCUUGACGAACUGGACAUGAGUGCACCAAGAAUCAAUGACAGAAUUUUAAAAAUAAUAAUAAGAGAAAAACCUACACAUUUUCGACUUAGAGUAGAACCUUAAUUAAUGCUAAAAUCUACUCAGCUAACAUUUUCAAAAUAUUGUUCUUUAUGAUUUUCAAAACUGUGAUUAAGGUUCAUCUCAAAUGUUUGAAGAGAGUCUAUCAGUUCUUCAAAUGUUGAAUAAUAAAAAAAAAAGUUGAAUAUGGAGGAAAAUAGAAUGCAUCCAUCUUCGCUGCUGUAGAAGUCUUCUACUUAUAAAAGUAAGUUAGAAUAAACAAUUUUAAUCUCUCUUUUUAUUCCUACAAGUGCACUACAUUUUUUUUUUAAUCUCAAUGCAAAGUCGUAUCGAAAUGUUAUAUUCCUAUUGUAAAACAAAAUUUUAGAUAAAACAAAUUCGACUCAUUUUUUAAAGAUAUAUAUUUAGUAGGUUACCAACAUAACUAACAAAACGUGAUUAUUACACUAAAUGAAAUAAAUGACAGUACUAUCACCAAUAAUUUAGCAAGUUUCGCAUGCAUGUGUUUCUAAACACAUUAUAUGGAAUCAAACAACAGUGAUACAAAGAGAAAAGUAGAAAUCCUCUGAUUAUAUUUUUUUUUUCUUUUUCAAAAGAAAUGGUGGGGUUGGUUUGUUUGCAAAGUUAUUAGCGAGGGUCUAUUUGUUUUUGUUUUAACUUUAUUAAUCAAUAAGCAAACAUGUAAUUAUUUGUAUAUAUCACUAGCAUCACAUUAUUGUGAGGUAUUGCGCUUAAUAUUCACAAUUUUUGUAAGAUGAAUUUGUAAGACUAAUUAAUUUUGAUGAAAAUGUAUCGUUACUAAGAUAUUAUUUAAUUCAUUAAGUUAACUUGAGGUAUUAAUAUUUACUAAUUGUGGUGCUGAUUAAUUUAUUUAACUUGUCACUAUUUGCAAUUAAGAAUGAAGUUCAAUCAAUUUAUUGAGUAAAAAAAAAACAAAGAUGCAUUUUUUUCUUUAGAUUUUAAUUCUUAGGAUUUGAUUUCACGCUCUUUUGUUUUUUUACGUUGCUAAAGAGGCAGUAAAAAGUUUGCUGAAUGUCAUCAAAUACUUGUAUCUCAUCUCACAAAUUGGUAAUAUUUGUUUGGUAUUUCAUCUCAACAGACGCAGUAAGGAUUACCUCUCCAAUGACUGACAUUUUUUUUUUUUUUGGGGACAAAGAAAGAAACAGAAUUUUGAGUUUCGAAAAGCAAAAUAAGAAAAUUGAGCAGUAAGUGUGAAGGGUCAAGCAAAAUGCAUGUAGCAAGUCUUCGACUUGUUGUUUAUCCCACUAAAGUGAAAAUAAAAACAGAGCCCACGACCCCUUAAUAAUUGAGCAAUUCACCAAUCACCAGUCACCACCACUCGUUACCAUGAAUAUAAUAAAUUGCACCUUGAUAUUUGCAGGGUCCAGCAACAUUGACCUAGUGUCCGGGUAAAUGCUGAAUAAAGAGGAAAAUGGAAUGUAUCCACUCCGAACCUUCGCUUUACAACAAUUUUUAAGAAUCACAAUGGUAAUUCCUACUAUCAUGUUAUCUUAAUGUCGUGUUAAAAUAAAUUAUAAUAUAUUUUUUAUAUGAACACUCUUUUCAUUUAUAAAUUUUUAAGUUUCUAAUAUUUUUCUCACUUUUUUAAUCUUAAUAUUUAUAUUCCUCUCUUCAAAUUUUUUUAUUAUUUAAUUUUUAAAGAAAAAUAUGAAAAAAAUAAGAAAAACAUUAUACUUAGAAAAUAAUUAAUAUUUUAUGGGUCUAAUGCAAUUUUGUCUCACCUAUAAAUUUUUUUGUUUAGCAAUUAGUUUGAGAAUCUUAAAAAAUUAUUUGCAGUAGGAUAAAAUUUUAUUUAAUUUAUUUUUUUACUGUAUUGUAUCUUAAUUAAUUAAGUUGUUAUGUUUAUUACAAGAAUUUUGUUUUGGCUUAGAGGAUUGCUUCUUAAAUUCAUAUUAUUUUAAUGAUAAUAAAAGAUAUUUAUAUUGUGCAAGCAAAAUAAAAUGAAGAGAGAAAGAAAAUAUAAAUGAUUUAAUUCUAUUUAUAUUUGUCCUCAAAUGUAAUUGUAGUAUAAUAGGAGUUUUAUAAGAUUAAUGAAGGGGUGCCAAUAGUCGUACUCUUAUAGAAAAUGACUGUAAUAAUAGUGGAAAUUUAGUGUAAUAAAAAGGAUAAACCGUAAGAAAUUAAUGUUUACUUCAAGAUACGUUAUAAAUAUUGUUUUUCUUAAGAUGUUAUUUGCCUCCACCAAUCGAAUGAUGCACAUGAAUUAAGCAAAUAUGCUUCCAUGAUACAAUAAAGCGCUUAUUUAUUUGUUUACGUUGUAUGUCGACGAAGCAAACUUAAAUACUUUUGAAUGUUGUAAACCUACCAAGAAUCAAUAUAUUAUUUCUACAAAAAGAAACAAUAUAUUAGAUAUUUAAAGCAUAAAAAAUAGACGUUAAUUGAUUAAAUUUGAUUUAGCAAAGACACCUAAGAAAAGAGGGGGGUAACGCCAUUUUUUUGGUGUUUAAAUAGUCUAAAUAUGCCCCCUUUUUGUCCAUCCCCUUUUCCCCUUUUAUUGGGAUUAUUUUUUUUUUUAUAAUCUCCACCCCUUCAUGGUUAUUAGACCAACCAAUUAAAUCCCUCCUAAAGCUACUUAACUUUUUGCCCCCCAACUUAAAGGAUCCCAUAGGGAUUGCUUUUCGGAUGUUUGCCUUUUUUUUUUUCACUUUUUUAUAUUUUUUUUGGGGGUGUUGGGGGGGGGGGGGGGGGGGGGAGUUUAUGAAAAUUAAAGCAAAUAAGAAAGUCAAUUACAGCAGAAUGAGUUUGUGAUUGUGAAAGGUCGAGCAAGUCUACAAAUCAAUUAGACAAAACCCACCACGAGAGUUAAAAUGGAAAAAUAGCGCCCACCACAAAUAUAAAAUUGGAGGAGCUCAAGAUCCUGCCUUUGCUUUACAUAUUAAAUUAAAUAAAAGCCAAACCAAUAACCUUGCCUUUGCUUAACAUGAUUAAUUAAGCACUACUUCAGAAAGAAUACAAAAGUAAUGAACCUUGUAUUAAUCUUAAAUUUUAGGAAUAAAGCUACAUUUUCUCCUCUUACCAUCUUUUCAUGUUCAUUUCAAAAGUUUGAAGAGAGUUUAUCCAUUCUUCUUCUAAACUAAGAAAAUCAACAUUCUUACUUUCUUCAAAUGUUGAAUAAAGAAAAAUAAAUUAUUGAAUAAGGAGGAAAUUAGAAUGUAUUUACCUUCGCUAACCUAAAAUAAAAAAAAUUAAUCUCUCUUUUAUUACUAAAGUACACUAUUUUUUUAAUAAUUGUAUUGAUAAUGACAAUAUAUAUCAUCGAUUAUAUUCUUGUUGUGUUGAAAUAAGGUAUAAAAAUUUUUGGAUCAACAGGAAUUCGACUCAUUUGUUAAAAGUACAUAUUUAAUAUACUAAAAACAAAAAUUAACAUAAACAUGAUUAUUACACUAAAGUGAAAUGAAAGCCAGUACCCGCCGGUUCACCAACAGUAAUUUAGCAAACUUUGCAUUCUAGGAAAUGGACAUUGGUGAAUUAACCAAAGAAGACUUCCUUUGAUAAUGCGGGUAACGCCGGUCUGUCAUGGAAUGGACAUUGGUGAAUUCGACUUCCUUUGACGUUUAGUUGACUAUUUUCACAUCUAGCAGCCCUUGGCGUUUUGUUUUCGUUCGCUCUGUCGUCUUCAUCGCUCUGUCGUCUUCGAUCUUUAUGGCGACAUGGGUAUAUGUGUAUGGUAAACUGUGCGGGUGAAGAGUGUCGACAUGAUGCUGUCACCUUGCUUUAAUUAAUUGCAGUGACGUUAUAAAGUAAGCCUCAAAAAUUUAAAAUCGUGGGUCAAGCCCUGGUGUACAAAUCAGAAGUUGUAACAAAGAAGAAUUUAAAAUUUUUCUUCUUUGUUUCUUUCAUGCAUUAGGCUCGUUAACAAUUCAACAUACCAGGGAUGAGGGAUGCAAGGAAACAAUUAUUUGGUUUGAGUGUUUGGUAUUUUCUCGAUUCGUUCAGAAUUUGAUGAGUUUUUCUGUUUAAAUUGUGCGUAUAAUUUUUAUUUUUAAUUUUCUGACGUCGAUAUCUUUAGCAUAGAUUUUGUCUAUGAUACAUUAAAAAAGUUUGAAUCGCACAUGAUUCACUGUGUUGUAAGAGUAAAAUUUCUUCUUAUUAUUUAGAAUUCAUAUUUUUCAACUAAACUUUUAAUACAAUAUAUCGAGACAGAUCCUCGUGAUGCACAUACAUUUUCGCUUUUAGCCGUGCUGCCUGCUCUCAAAUGUACACUUAUAAAUUCCAAAUGAAAAGAAAUUUUGAAAUUGCGCAGCUCUGGCCAGGGAUCACCUUUUUGCCUUGCUAUUAUCUACAAUAUUUAUUUUUGCAAUCCGCAUGCAUGCUCGGUUAUGAUCACCCACGUGAUCGGCAUUAAGUUGUUUUUUAUCUUCUUAUUAACAAAUUAUUUAGUGUGCGGACUCCAUUCAUGCUCCCACGUUAAUCUUUCCAAAUUUUGUGCAAUAAAAGUUCAGCCGAUCCGCUAUUCACUUUGCCACAGUCUGCUACUUCAUUCUAUUUGUUUACUGCAUAUGAUCAUUANNNNNNNNNNNNNNNNNNNNNNNNNNNNNNNNNNNNNNNNNNNNNNNNNNNNNNNNNNNNNNNNNNNNNNNNNNNNNNNNNNNNNNNNNNNNNNNNNNNNAGAAUUUAUGAUUUUCUAUUAAGAUCUGUAAUAACCCUUUCUUAAUUUUCAAUUGUCCUUAUGAGUAUAUGUCAAUUUGGAUUAUUAUUCCACAUAUACAUAAUGUAUAAAGAAAAGAGUAAUGAUACUGCCACAAACUCUUGUACAAAUUUAUUUUGUACAAACUGACGUGUCAUUAAUUCACUGGUUGAAUGAAAAUAUAAAUUAAUAAAAACAAAUUAUGUGGGCUAAGUGAUAUUUAAUUCAACCAAUCUUAUCAUGCCUCAUCAAUUUGUACAAAAUAAGUUUAUACAAGAGUUUGUGACUGUAUCAUUACUCUAAAGAAAAUUAUUGGCAUAGAAAUUUUUUGCACAAAAAAAAAAAUCCAAGAUGUUUUUGACUGUUGGCGGCACAAUACAUAAAGGUGAAAUUAGGUUAUCGUUUGGAUUUUUUCAUGAGACACCCUAAGGUUUGUUUAGUUUAUGCUUUUGGCCAAAGUUUAUAAUUUUGUUUCAUUUAAGUCCAAUUGAAUUUGCAACGGCCAUCACAUGCUGUCUUCAAGCCGAAAUUUAGGAGCAAUUGCAUGUGAAAUUGCAGUGUAGUCCCUGGUAUUCUAUUUUAUUAAAUUAAAGAUAUGAUUAAUUGGAUUUACUAUGAUAAAGCCGCCAACUUUAUGUGCAUCAAGCCUUAUAAGUUUUGUUCUCGUAAUUUUGAAGCCUCCGCUCAUUAAUUAAUGAUCUCCAAAAUUUCUUAAUGUUCCAAUUUUAAUGUUUGAAAUUUGAAUUGAUGUUUGUGGUUUUAUUUACUUUAUUAAAGAAAUUACUUUGUUAUAAAUGUUCAAUUUGACAUUCAUAUUAUGAUAAUUUGUUAGUUACUAAAGUAGCCAAAUUAGAAAGUUUUCAUAGAUGUCAAAUUAAAUUCAAUUUCAAGUUCUCAUAAUUAUUGUGAUGCGUAUUAUUUAAUGACAUGAUGAUCUUGUUGUAUGAGUAUAUUGAAAUUCACAGAUUAUAAAAUAUUUAGGAAUUGGUCAAAGGUUGAUUAAUUAAUUUUAUAAUAUAUGAUCAUGAUUUGUGGAUAAUUAAUAUGCUUGAUUAGAUAUGUUUAGUAUAUCCAAAGAUAGCAAGCGUGUCUAGUUUAUGUAUAGUUGAUUACUAAUUAUGUGAAAUUAAAGUUAAGCAUCAAUUAUGUUUAUUGCAGUGUAUUGUUGUAUCACCAAAUAAAUUAAGCUUCUUAAUUUUAUGUCAGUAAGUAUUAAUAAAUUAAUAUAGGUAACAUUAAAUAAUUUAAAUUAGCUGUAGAAAAUUUUAAAAUAUUUUAUUCAUAAUAAAAAAUUAGCGAUAUUAUAUCAUGAAUUAAUUAAUAUGUAAAUUAUUUAUUUAUCAAAAUCAUUUUCAUUUAAUUAAAUAUUAAUUGAGGUUUAAUUAUUAGUUAUCAAUAAAAAUUAACAUGGUAUUGUCUUUUUUAUGGUCCUGGCCCCCAUCUCCAAAUUAGAAGCAAUUCUCAAACCCGCCCCAUACCUAAAAGUUCACAUUUGGGGAGCAUCCCCAAUUUUGUGUAUGUAUAUAUGAUUUGGUGAGUUACAAGAAGCAUUACCAGCAAAAGCACAGAAAUGGUUUCGUUUCAGAAGCAAAUAUGAUGCUAAGGAAAGUUUCGUCUUCAGCAUAAUAACUAUAUAAUAUCAUAAUGAAUUGGUGUGCAUUAACCAUGCUCCAGGUUGAUUUGGAAAGUCAUGAUGCUGUUUCCAUUUCAAUUUAGACUCCUUGCUUAUCAGCCAAAUGAUUUAUAAGUAAUAGCCAGUAGAAGUUUUUCUCAAAAUGGAAAUAAGUUGUCUUACUGGGAGAGUCCACAUAUGGUAUCUAAUUUGUGGUGUUAUUAUUUCAAUUGUAAGUUCCCUAAUUCUGGCCAAUGCACAGAUUCAGAAAGUUAUAUUUGGUGAGUUUUUUUUUUUUUAAAGGUUUUGGAUACAACGGCAAGAGAUAGGGAAAAACAACAAAGGGAGAGUCAAAACUCCACAUUAAGCUAACAUUUGAAUUUCCAUUUAUACUUUGCUCCACUCAUUCUAAUGUUUACUGGCUAAUUGUAGUUUAUGGUGUAGCAUCCAAAAAAGAUGACUCAUAGAAUUUAUUCUUUCGGACCACUAAGUAGCUUAAACACACACACACACACACACACACACAAACACAUGUACAUAUGAAUGUGUGUGUAUGUAUAUGUAUAUAUAUAUGUAUGUGCGUAUAUAUAAUCCUUCCCUAAUAUAGACAUCUCUUUUCUUUUUUUUUCUACAUAGACACACUAUCACUAGUAGAAAAAUAGCCUUCUAUGAUACUAUUUUGGUAUCGGCAGCUUGUUUUAUUAACACCGAGUUUAGUGUCAUUAAUCACGGUGCAAGAAAUUUACUGACACAAAUUUUUUGUGUCAACAAUUCUGUGUUACCUUAGAAUCAAAGAAAUGCUGAUUCCAUAGUAUCAAAAUAAUUGCAAUUCUAUACAAUCAUGUAGAUAGUGAUUCUAUGGUAUGAAGCAAGUUUUGAUGCUCUAAUGUCAUUUAUGUUCUGAUUCAAUAAUAUUGGUAUUUACCAAUGCUAUAUUGGUGUCAGCAGUUUUAAAAGUAUUUAAAAAAAAUAAUGAAAUGGUCAUUAUUACAAUUGUCAAUAAGCUGGAAUCAAAACUUAAUAAUCAACAGUUUUGAACAAUGAUUAUGAAACAAAUGUUGGUAUCAAAAUCCAAUAAACUCCAUUUAACAAUUGCCAAUAGGCUCCAUUCAGUAUUCAAUAUUCAACUUUCAACAUUGAAUAACCAAAUUGGUUCUAUCCAAUAUUCAGUAACCAAAUUCAUCAACCACAGUUUCAAUAGCACAACAAUGCUAAAAACCACAGCUAGUUUCUAAUCUAAAAAAACUACAACUUAUUUGUCAUUACGGCAACCUGAGUGGCAGUACUAAACAAUAAAGGCAAAUGGAAUUGGUGUGCUACCGCUAUCAUUCUCCAUGAUCUUCAAUGGCGUGAAUAAUAGUACCAACAACAAGCAACGACAAUACUCAAUUCCAACAAAAUCCACCCAACAAAGGAAAAUGGUUCAUCAAAGUUUGAAAACCACAAAUUUGUUUUACUACACCACUGAGACUAUUCUUGAAACCUGGAAGUAGUUCCUACAUAUAAAACGAAAUCAAGAGUAGGCUCCAACUAAAAAAGGCUUCAACAACAGAGAAAGAAGUUCACUAUACAUACAGAUCAAAGUUAGAACUUUAGCCAACCUGUGGCUUCCUUGCAGUAAUAGAGCAAUCAUGAUCAAAAUGAUUCAAAUGGCCUUUGACAGCUGAGCACCCAUUUAAAGGCAGCAGUGGUUUCUUACGGGAUUUUGAAAGUUUUUGAGUUGUUUCUUCCAUGGGUGUUACAUUUUCAGUGGAAUUAUCCAGUUUCUCUCCUUCAGAAUUCGUACAUGAUGAAUACAUCCGCACAAUGUUAUAUACAUAUGACCACAUGUAGAUGGCUUCAAUCUGAAAUAUCAAUAAUAAUGAAAAAUCAAAAUAUUGAAAAAGAUCCCAAAUUAGUUUGCCUGAGAUGACUAAGGAACAUUCUUAAUAUGAUCCAUCCAAAUACACCAUAAAAAUUAUCCAAAACUAUUCAUAGAAGUAAAGCAAAGAAUUGAAUUGAGUUUAUUCUUAAUCCAUUUCAUUAAAAAAUACUGCUACUUCAGCAAGCAAACCAUUGGUUAAGAUUAUAAGGCAACAAAGGAACAUUUAUAACAUUUUUGCUCACCUAUCUUCAUUUGACUCAAAUAGAAAGAAGGAGAGCGAGAGAGGGAAAAGAACCUGCAGCACAGCAUCCUAAAACAAGGCCCCACAAAUCAUAAGGAGCUUUUGUAGUUUUUAGAACUAUCCAUCCAAGUGCUGAGCCAACGAUGAAUGUAACAAGGAUAUUUAACGGCAUAAACCACCUACAUAGUUUUAUUUUAUUUAUGAAAGCUACUUUCAAUGAAUUGACGGAAGAAAACGAGAAAACAUGGUAAGAAGACCAAAAGAAUAAUUAAAAAAAUAGAAGAAACUGCACAGGUUUCGUAAAGAAUGCAAACUCACAACAUGCCCAUGCCUUCAGCUGUCAUGUGCUCUGCAAGACUGCUACCAAUAAGUGCUGGAUUGCAGAAGUAAAACACAACCUGUACAACAUUAAAAGAACCAAAUCCUUUAACAGCUUGGCAGGCUUUAGUAAAUUUUUUUUUGAAGAAAAAAUAUAACAUCAUUUGAAUUUUUUUUACAGUUAAAUUGCAGUGAAAAUUACCUUGUUCAAAUGCUGGCGUACAAGUCCCCCAAUAUAUCUAUCCGAUCUAGUGCAAGAAAUAAGCCAAGAGCAGUAAGCAGAAGUACCUUUAAAACUGGUAUAAAUGCAGCAAUAAAGAGGUCCAGAAUCUUCAUAGUGGGGUCUUUAAGUCCUCAGAUUAUCUAUAGUACUUGCUGCAGAGGAAAAGGCAUGAUAUGCUACCACAUGAGCAAUAGCUUUUAUAGAAACAAGCCUAAAAUUACUUUAAAAAUCAAUUUAACAUUGUUCGUAAUAGCAAUUUUACCCAUUAAAAACCGAUCUUCAAGCAAGUUUGUAUUUUUCACCACAAAAAUUAAAUCUAGACAAAUGACCUAAAAUAAAAUUUUUCUAAAGCACAUUUCAUAUUUCAUUAAAUUACAAAAAAGGAUUGCGUAUGACUUGAGAGGAAAUUCUGAUUGAUUCACAGUUUUAGCAUAAUAAGAAUACAGAUCACAAAUUAAAAUCCCAGACAACAUACGUGCAAAAUCUUUUUCUUUUUCUUUAUUGGGAAAUUAUCAUUCGUAUACCCUAUAUUUGCUUUGUUAUAAAAAAUACUACAACACUUUGAGGGUGUAUCAAUCCUCCACCCUUAGUUGACAAAAUGUAUUAGCUGACCACCAAACCGUUAGUUGAUGUUUAAAAGUUAACGGAAUUACAAUGAAUUGACGAUUUUACCCUUGAAAAUUAUCACUUGUAUACCCUUAAAUUCUAUAUUUAUCACUUGUAUACCCUUAAAUUAUCACUUGUAUCAUAUGAAAAGACUAAAUUACCCUUCUGACAUCAUCAUACUUAAACGGCAACUAACAGUUUGGUGGUCAGCUGAUACAUUUUGUCAACUUAGGGUGGACGAUUGAUACACCCUCAAAGUGUUGUAGUAUUUUUGAUAAUUGAGUAAACUAAGGGUAUAUAAAUGAUAAUUUCUCUUCUUUAUUAAAAAAAAUACCAGCCAAAAGGAAAGAAAAGGAAAAAAAAAAAAAACAAAUAUAGUUAGGUGGAUAGAUAACGAGGAAGGAGUAAAUAAAUUAUUGCUUGGUUAGAUAUCAUCUCAUAGUAACGAAUGAAAAGCAGAGAUAAGAACAGAUGAACCUCGUCUCUCCACCAGUGGCUUGGGGUCUUGGGGCCCAUCACGCGUGGGAGAGGAUUUCAGUUGGAGGAAGAAGGCGGAGCAUCGGGUGGCAACCUGAAAAGCUGGUGGAGGUAAAGGGAGUGAAGGAGACGGGAGCCACCGACACCGAGAGCUAGAACCACGGAUCUGAGCUCUUGGGUAGCACACCCAAAGUUAGCGAAUUGGUGGAUGCAUGUCUACUCUCAAAGGCGCUCGUCUUGAGCCGUCUUGUGCCAUAUCUUGUUGACGCAGGCUGCCCGUGCCAAGGUCCCGCCGUCCGUGUGUUUCAACUUUCAACACCUCGAACAGGAAGUUCUCAUCUAGAUUUGUAAGGCCAGUUUCUUUGGGAGGCUGAGAGUUUCUGUUUUGUUAAGACUUAAGAGGCUGAGAUAGCAAGAUAAAAACAAAUAAGAUUAUAAUUAAAUUAAACGUGAGAAAUUACUUUUCUAGCAAAAGCUUAAUCCAACGCCUCCAUUACUUCUUUUUUAUGGAUAUAUUCUUUAAUUAUUUUUCGUUAUUUUACUUCCUGUUCAUCAAGUUUGCGAUGUUUACAACAAUUAUUCAUUUGAAAAGUUAUCCAAUAAUGUUAAUACGUGAAAAUUGAGAAUAUGUAUAGCGAAAAAAAUUUCUUCAAAAAUGAAUUAUAUAAUCUUGACUUUGGAAAAUGUGGCCAGAACUGCAAAAAUGAAGAUUAAUUAACCUUGGAUGACAAUGAUUAAUACCCGUCCAUUUCUCCUAAGCUCUGUUUCUUACUUUGAUGCGCACAUGACUUGACAGCUUCAUCUUCCUCUAGCUUCCUUUCGUGAAACGUACUAACAAUUAACAGUAGUCUACUAACAAAUUAAGAUAUAAUCCAAUAUCUUUAGUACAAAUUCAAAUAGUCUCAUUUUGACUUUGAGCAAGCUUUUUAAUUCCACACUCAGAAACAAAAUUUUGUGAAUUCACAUUAUUUAGCAAAAUAAUUAACAAAUUAAUUGUGAUUAUGGUUGACGAUCAUGUUGAUAAGCAUCAUAUACACUAUCGUUGCAUAUUUAGUGAAAUGAUGCAAGGACGAAGUAUCACUUGGCUGUAAGAAUUAGUUACCCAACAAUUUGUGGAGUUUGUUUUAGAUAAAAUAAAUAAAUAAAUAAUAGAGAGCAUAAUUAAGCCGACAUGGAUAGACUAACUUAAACAAUAUAUUGAACACAAUUAUUAUUUUUAUUAACUUCCUUUUUCAAGAAGACACUGUACACAAAAGUAAAUUAAAACAAAAAUCUCUUGUACAGUUCAAGAGAUUUUAUAAGUUGAACUGAGCCAAAUAAAGACAUUCACACAAUUGAUAGAUAAUGAUUGAAAAAAUAUUAUGCUCAAAAUAUUUUCUUUGUAUGUCAAAGAACGAGAGAGUUACAAGCUUAUAUACAACUAUUAAGGUCAGCCAAAUCUCUUAGAGUAAUGGCUAGACAGGCUGUCCUAUUUAUGACUACAUACAUUAAGGAAUGAAAUCAUUUGUACAUAAGGAAUAUUAAUAUUAUCAAGUGAUACUUGCUCAAAAUAAAGAUUGUGUCUAGAAUAAGGGAUUGCCGAUGCCAAAUCUUGCCGCUAAUAAUAUUCGGUGAGCUGUAGCUACUGAUUGUAUGGUUUAUCAAUGAUAACCCAUCAUUUUAUUUAAUUAAUAUAAUACGGAAAGAGUAACUCGCACUUAAGUAGUGUAGUUGAGAUUUCUUCCGUGUUGAGGGACAAUAAAGAGAUCCAGAUUGUCGCUCAUGCUCUCAUCAUUAACAAUACUUAUAAGAGAUAUUGGAUAACCCGCAGACCACUCGACCUUCCCUAAAAAUUCACAACAACAAUUGUAUUCAUUAAUACAUAUAUUAAAAUAAAAAUUAUAAAUGACAUUCAACUGAACAUGGCCUGAGAACCUGGAUAAGGAGCUUCCAUGUUCUUCAAAUUAGAAAAGAUAUCUUCUAACUUCUGGUGAACCGUAAUCGAAAUUGAAGUUGCUUUUGUUUCUGGUUUGAUAAUAUGAUGUUGAUGUAUUUAUAUACGAGUCUUCGUAUAGUAUAGUGCUGUAUGCAAUACAGCCCCUUCAACAGUAAAAAGGAAACUUGAACAACUAGUAUUUUACCAGUUGUACAUUUAAUAAAUUUUUAAAAAUUAUUUUUAAUGCAGAAAAAAUAAAAUAAAACUGAAAAAAUUAAGGAAAUUUUGUAAAUAUUUAACACAAACAAUAUUUGAGAGAGAAAAAUAUUUUUAAUUUCAACAAAAGUUAAAAAAAUUAAAAUAAGCAUGUCUCUACUCUUUUGUUUUAAUGUCAAUAUAUUAGGUGACAUUCCAAGUUAAUUUCACAUAUACCUAAUUUUGAUUAAACUUUUUCACUAAUUGGUUUGCUUAUCUCCACUUUCGGAUCCACUAGUUUUAUGUUUAAUAUUCCUACUAAACUCGUUAAAUAUUAAUAUUUUGGGUCAAAUUCCAAUUAAAUUUAUUUCUCGUUAGACAAGUAUCAAAAUUCCGUUAAACUUUCUCCACAUUUGGUUCAUGUGUUUCAACUAUUAUUCUACUAGUUUUUCAUUUAAUAUUUCAACUCGUUUAUCAACAUUCCAAUUAUAUGGGUUAGAUAUUGAUAUUACUUUUUUUGGUUUGAUCAGUUCUAAAUUUUGGUAAUGUUUUUCCAUCCAUAGGUUCACAUGUUUCAACUUAUUGGUCCACUAAUUUUACGUUUGAUAUUUCUACUAAAUUUGUCAAGUACCAAGAUUUAUUGUUAGCUAGCUUCCAAGUAAUUAACAUUAUUCGUUGGAUAAGUUUCAAGUUUUGGUUGUUCUUUCUCUCUUAAUGGUUCACGUGUUUCCUCUAAUUUUUUCCCUAAUUUUGCGUUGAAAAUUGCCAUUAAUUGGUUGAGAUUCCAAUUACUAAGGUUAGGUACUAGGUUUGUUUUCUAUAACUUUAUUUUUUAUUUUGUAGAUCUCUAAUUUUAGUUGUGCUUUCCCCAUUUUUGGUUGACGUAUUUCAAUUGUAAUUCCACAGGUUUUGUGUUCGUUAUUCCAACUAACUUGGUAAAAUUCUAAUUAUAUGGGUUAAAUAUCAAUAUCACUUUUGCUUGGUUUGAUUAGUCUCAAGUUUUGGUUAUACUUUUUUAUCUUUUGGUUCACAUGUUUCAACUUAUUGGUCCACUGGUUUUGCGUUUCAUAUUCCUAUAAAGUUCGUUAGGUACAGUAUUAUGGGUUAGAUUCCAAGUAAAUAUCAUUUUUCGUUAAAUGAGUUUCUAAUUUUCGUCAAACUUUUUCUCUUAAUGGUUCACGUGUUUCAUCUAAUUUUUUCCCUAAUUUUGUGUUGAAUAUUCCCAUUAGCUAGUUGAGAUUCCCAUUACUGAGGUUAGGUACCAAGUUUGUUUUCUAUAACUUUAUUUUUGGUUUUGUAGUUCUCUAAUUUUGGUUGUGCUUUCUCUAUUUUUUGUUGACGUAUUUCAAUUGUAAUUCCACAAGUUUUGUGUUCGUUAUUCCAACUAACUCCACAUGUUUUGCGUUCAUUAUUAGAAUAAAAGCAACAAGUUCUAUCAAAAUUUAAGAAUGAUUACUAGCGCUUUCAUGCUCGUGGAGGUGAGAAUGGGAGACGCUUGUUGUCUUAAGUGACUAUUCUUACCCCACUAAAUUUAUAAAUUUAAUCAUUCCUUCUCUAUAUGGUGUUUCCACUCCUAACAAUAAUUUUCUUAAUAUUAAAAUUGUCAAUAAUAAUAAUUACAAUUAUUAUAACAAAUAGUAAUAAUGAUAAUAAUUGAUUGAGGAUAAAUUAAUAAUUUAUAAUAACUCAUUCUAAUUUAUGUUCACAAAGUAAACAUAUUAAUAGCAAUAUAGAAUAUUCCAAUUGUGUUUCAUUCAUCCAACAAAUAUCAUAUUUUGUUUGUUAUUCUUCAUUUUUAUUGUAGCCCAUUCUAAUUUUUUUUUAAUUUUUGUAAAUUUCAAUUAUUUAUUAGUGAGCACAUAAAAAAUUUAAUAAAAAUUAAAUUUCACAUUAGAAAGAGCAUGCAAGGUAGACUUUUGUAGGGUUUGCAAAUCAUAUUGUAGGUAUUUGGAAGUUCACAAAAAGUAAAUAAUGUUAUGUACAGAAAUAAGUUCUUGUUUAUAACGUUUUGCUGUAUUUCAGUGACACUUUGUUAUAUAAGGUGUUGGAUGCUAGGAUUAAGUAUGGGAUUGAACUAAUUUUGGAAUUAAAUAUUUAUCCAAUGUUUGUCAAGCUUAGUUGGAUUGUAUUAAGGGGGUAGUAAUUUAAAUUUAAUUCUAAAAUCAUGGGAUUAAUAAUGGUAAUUUACGCAUGGGUUUAGUUGGGAUAAGAUUAAUGAAAAAAGUUGUCCAUUUAUGAGAUUUUUAUUUAUAUCAUUUUUUAUUUGCACCUAAUAUUAAUUAAUUUUUAUUAUGAUUUACUUAAAACUUAUUUAUAUUUAUUAUCUAUGAUCUAAUUAAAUUAAUAUAUUUACUUGUAUUAACUCCGGAGAUUAAAUGUUCACCACUAGUAUAUUUAGUAAUUUAUCGAUAAAAUUAAAUGUUUAAUUAUUUAUUUCGCAAACACACCAAUAUUACAUUAUUUCCCUAUUAUUGCCAUCGGUUCCCAAACAUCCAAGAGCUGGUUGGCAACAAGAGAAAAAAUAGGGGUGACUAAUAACGACGACUAUGUAAUCGUGGCCAAUAAAUUAUUUCACAGUACCUAAUUAUAGCAACGAUUAAAUGCAACCUGAAACAUGCUGUUGAAGUCAUAGUUAUGGAAAAUUUUACAAACUUCAAAUAAGACCAAAAAAUUACAAAGAGUAAUGUUAAAUAUCCCAAUUAAAAUUGUGCCACUAUUCAAUCACAAAUGUAGGAUAGGUGACUAUAAUUUUUCUAUAAGUAAUGCUUCGGUACUUUUAACAGUGUGAUGAGUAAACGUUAAUUUUUAUAUUUUAACUCAUGAUCGUUAAGAGAAAUUAAAUUUGGAGUGUGUUUUUCAAAUAAUGUGACACUUCAAAAAUAUAUAUCUCAUCCUUCUCCCCGUUCCUCAUCAAAAACCACUUUUUCCAAUUUUCUCCCACAGGAUGCAGGAAUGAAGAAUGCAUGGAAGGAGAAAUUACCUAUCCAAACAUCCAUACUUGGAAAUCAUCAACACAAACCACAAAAUUAAGCUAUCUUAUGAAAAAUGUCCAUAAUGCAUAAUCAAAACAUAACAAGUAUUGACAAAUUUGAAAACAAAAUACAUAAUAAUCAUAAUUUCUGGGCAUAAAACCAUGGGAUAAUCACUGAGGAGGUGGCGGAGAUGAAGAUGAGGAUGGCGGCGAAAUCCCGAGAGUCCGGCAGAUGAGCUGCUGGUCAUCUAGAAUCUGCUGCUGCUGUGAAAAAAGACGUUGCUGCUCAGAAUGGAAGUGAUAGUGGAACGCUGCAAACCGUGUCUGAAGCUCGUUCUGUUGUAUAGAUAUGGAACAAAUUAAAACUGUCCAUUUAUAUGGGUAAUGAGUAACUACCUUAUCUUUUUAAUAAUUAAAAGAAAAGUAUUCCUUUAAUUAUUGGUAGAAUUUAUUUUCCAAUUCACUAUAAAAAAUAAAUACUCCUAGGGUGAAGAAUAUAAGUAUAAAUUGAAAUACAAAUUUUUUUUCACUUAAAGUGUUUUCUCAAAUUUUUUUCCAUAAGAAACUCAAAAAUGUAUUAAUGAAUAAGUUGUAAAAUAGAAAGUGGACAAGCCGUCCACUUAAAAAACAAAGCCUAGCACUAUUUGUGCUAUACGAAAGUGUACCCAAUCACCCCUAAAGUAUUUUUCCAACUUUUUCUCGUAUUUUUUUAAAGAAUACUUAAUAGAUUAGAUAUUGUAAUAUAAAAAUUGAAGACAAACAAACAUGAAUGAUGUAUCAAUAAAUUAAUGGAGAUCUAUUACUAUAUUUGGAGUAAAAUUAUGAAUAAAUUAACAUAGAUAAUGAAUUUAUACCUUUACUCUAUAAUGCAAAUGGUAUUAUGUUUUUAAUUCAAUUUAGCACCGUACAAGAAAAGAUUACCUUAUCGCUUCCAAUCCCUCCUUUAGAUCUAAGCCACUUCAUGAACUUCUUGAUCCUUGAUUUGCUCCAGAAUGUGAUAGGAAGUAUAAUCCUAUAAGGCUGAAUGUUGUCAUAUGCAACAUUAUGGAGAUAAAAGAUCUGCAUGAGCAACUUAUAAUUAAGAAGAAUAAUAUUAUUCAUGGUAAGCAUAUGCUCAGCUUUAGUUGCAGAAACUAUGUCACCUGUAGGAAGUGCUAACAAAUUCCAAUGUAUGCUGCUUGUUGUUUCCACUAUUUCAUUGUCACCAGAAUGUGAGUUUGAAUUACCCAUCCUUUUAUCUCUCUUUUUGUACCUUGCCUUUUGUUCGGGAGGAAGGUCUUUGUAGGUUUUCCCAAUAUGUUUUUGUAACUGUCAAAAUGAUAAUGAAUAUGUCUUAAAACAUAAAAAACCCACAAAAUAAUAUCUAUACAUGCUACAUUUAAUGAAUAUAUACUAACCCCAAUCGUAACGGACAAAUCUAAAUUUUCACUUCUCAAACGCUUAACUUCUUCAUUGCUGCAAAAGCAUAACAUCUAAUUACUGUUAUUUGGUAUGGGCGUGUUUCUUUCCCGAUAGGUAAAUCACAACGACUACUUACAAGUAAGAGACAAAUCCAUAAGUUGAAGACAUUGGAAUUGCAUCCUGACCAUUUGCUUUUAGAAUAGGAGCACUUUUUUCUGUAAGCCCCCUGGUAGUUGUUUACGCUUUCGUCGGUGACUGUCCAAGAAAAAUUUUAAAUAAUUAAGUGAAGGAUAAUUAUUCCAUCAAUAUGUAUUAAUUUUUUUUUAAAAGAUGAGUUCCCCCACCUGCUAUUCAAAGUCACUGUGUACUCCUUACUUUUUAAUCUAUUAAACAUUCCAUAUAUGGUGGAAUUCAAGCACAAAUUAUAAUUUUAUUUUAUUUUUUUCCUCAUUUAUACCAAUGAAGAAAAAGAUGACAAGAAUAACAAAGGAAAGAUCUUUAUUUUUGCCCAAGACUAUGACCUCUCACAAACUCACAAUAAAUGAAUGACAGAGUGAAAAAAAAUUGUAUAUAAUAAAGGGAUGGGAUCAAGAGCUCUCAUUUCUUACUACAAAAUUUACGAAAUCUAAAUAUUUCAACAACAUAAAAUUUAAUGGAUAAUGAUCUUUGCUGCAUACAUUAAAAUCAUGACUAUUACCGUGCCCUCAACUUUGCGUCAUACAAACAAAUUUCAUCAUAAAACAAAGUACAGUGCUUUUUUUUUAAUAAAAAAAUACAUUAAAGGCUGCUGGGAAUGAGUAGGGGAUGAUGGGUUGUAACCAAGAUCAAAAUUAAUGCAUUGAAACCAAUAUGACAAAAUCCAUACUAUGAAUUAUUAUAAACACCUAAUAAAGGGUUAGUAUAUCAGAGGGAUUGAUACCUGGAAUGUACUUCAGCAAAACAGGACCCCUGAAAAUAAGAAAGAAAAGUUUUGCUCAACAUUCCAAAAAAAAAAGAAGGCCUGCUCUUUUUAAAAAAUUAUAUCGUUGUAACUUACACAAAAUUCCACUUAGCACAAUCGUAAGGACCAAUCGUAAGAUUAAGAUGAAGGCCUGCUUGCUGCACCAGCUUGAUAAACUUCAGCAGAUCAGAAUUCCCCUCCAAGUAAUACUAAAACUAAUUAAAACAAAAACAAAAAACAAAAAUAGCAAAACAUUUACUGAAGAACUUAUUUAAAAUAUUACCCUAGAUUUGAGACUACAAGCAAACAGUGCCUUCUGAUAAAAACAAAUUACAUGCCAUAAAUAAAAUUAUUACGAGCCCACCAAAGAAAUUGUCAGGGUUAUAGUGAUUACAAACCUUCCCUAACUUUAUUUAUCUUCACCAAUGAAAAUAGGUCAACAUUUAACAUUCUUUUACAACCAAGUACACCAAGUCUUACAAUUAAAGGUUUAAGGUUACAAAGCAUAGUUACUUAAGACUCUUAGCUUUAUCGUAAGGCACCUUAGACAAUUCUAUUACCACACAAAGACCUGGGCCUAUUUCUUAUAAACACGGCAAGAAUCACAUCCAAGGUCAAGCAAAUUCAACAACAAGGUCAUACGGCAUAUACCCAGCACAUACCCAACUCAUUGGCCGAUUUGAGGCACAAAACAAUAGAAUAUUAUCAUAAAACCACCACAAUAUCACUGGAUUCGAAUAUAAGAAUAAUAUAAAUAUAAUUGUUCAAUUCAAUCAUUACCCCAAAUCACGAAUACUAGCGAGACUAUAUUAAUUCAUGCCACUGGCAGCAGCACAUUCUUUAAUAAAAUCCUUCAAAUAUAAAAAAUCAGCUACAUGCGAAUCUAGAAUUUAAAAGGAAAUAUACAAUAAUUUUUUGGAGAGAAGAAAUCCCUUUCCACUUAUAUUGAAGAUAAUUCAAGAAAAUGACAGGCCCCAAUUCGCAGAUCAUCAAAACAAACCCCAUUACUUGCAGUUGCUUGAUGCUCGAUAACGUUACCUCUUUUUUUUUUUCAAUUUAUAAUUUUUUCCUUUUUGUGAAUAACAGAAUCUCAAGAUAAAAUAUUGCAGUAUGACUUAAUUGUAACUCUAUCGGUUCAAAAACAAAAAAUGACAAGCCCUAUCAAUUAUCAUUCAAUUAUCAAUCCCUAGAAAUCAUCUCAAUAUUUCAAGUAAUAAUUUCUCAAUUGCAAAAUCAAAUUAUUGAAACUGAAAUUUCAAGUAAUAUUCAUAAACUAAACUGAAACGUCCUGCAUAUUUAAAUGACAUGAUAAGAUUUUUAAUCAUAUAUUAAAUUAGAGAGAGAGAGCUCACCGAAAUUAUUGGAAGACAUAAGAGAGAGAUACAGCAAGAGUGAUAGAUUGAAGCUGACGAAUUGAAGCUAUGAGUGACGAACUGAAGCUGAGAGUGAUAGAUUGAAGCUGACGAAUUGAAGCGAGAGUAACAGAUCGAGUAAGCCUGAGUAAAUGGCACUCUUUCGACUACAUCUUUGCUCUUUGCUGUGAUGGGUGGUGAAUAUUCUUGAAUACCAAUUUCAUUGAUCCAAAAUUCUAGAUGUAGGAGAAAACAAUAGCAGAGAGAAUAUGAAGGCUGUUACUUUGAGGGAGAGAGAGGCAUCACAAUCCAACGGCUGUGAUUUUUUAGAUAAGUCAAGUGAUGACAUAAUGACUGGCAUAUCUGGUCGCCAAAAUGAGUAAUCAAACAUAUUAACCAUUGGAUGUUUCUACUUCUAUAUAACGGUUGCCCUUUCUUUUAAAGUUAUUGUUACGUUCGGAAAACGUGACCACACAAUCAAAUGUUCUUCUAUUGUCAAAAACAAUAAAUACAUGAGUUUCUUUUUUUAGGUUAUGUCAAUUCAGCAGUUAAGCAGUUAGUGGUUUGUUUACUUAUGAGACCGAAUAAUUAAAAUAUAAAACAAAAAUGAUUAAUAACGUUUACUUGUUAAAAUAUAAGAGAAAUAAAAAUGAAAUAUAUAAAUUCACAUACUAUUUAAAUUAAAGAAUAAUAAUAGAGUCAUAACUUUUUUUCCAGUCAUCACUUUAUUUAAAAAAGAGUUGAACUAUAGGCACUCCUCUGAAAUUCUUAAAAAAAACCCUCUCAUGUUAUAAUUACAUUAAAGGAUAAAUUAAUCUAAUUAUACCGCUAUAUUUGUCUCGCUAAAUCUUUACAUCCACACAACUAUAUCAAAGUGUUUUACAUUUUUUUUUGUUUUCUUUUGCAUUCUAUUUUUUUAAUUUAAAAAAAUUACAUAAUAGCUAUUUGAGUCACUUCUUAAUUCAUACAUAUACAAGAAAUUUAAUAAUUCAAAAAUUUGUAUAAAAAAAAAUUUAGUUGGAGUUGUUUGGAAGAAACUAAAUUUUCUUUUGAAAUCAGAAAGAAACAGAAAAAAAAAAACAAAACAAAAAAAAGAAGACAUUUUGGGAAUUAAAGUAGGUAGAAAAGCAGCUUGAAACGUAAAUUACAAGGGUGCUAAUAGUCUUACUCUUUGAAAAAUGCGGCCUGAACUGACAAAAUGCCGACCUAACCAAUUUUUUAUGACGAUGAUUAAUACUUGUUCGUUUCUCCUUAGCUCUGUUUCUUACAUUGAUGCAUACAUGACUUAAAAGCUUCAUCUUCCUCUAGCUUCCUUUCGUGAAAUCCAAUAUCUUCUGUAGAAAUUCGAAUAAUCUCAUUUUGACUUUGAGUAAGCUUUUCAGUUCAAUUAUCUUGCUGUAGUUUAUUUUUGUAUUUGCACAAAAUAAUGCAGUCAGAACAAAAUAAUUAUGUAACCCGAAGCAAUUCCUUCCAUCUCUACGAUAUUAACAAAAGCCAAAAUUUUCAACCAUAAUUACAAUUAAUUUGCUACUUAAACAACGUGAAGUUACAAAAUUUUGGUUUCUAAAUGCGGAGCUAAAAACCUCUAGCAUCAAUAUAUUGGGAAUUGCGCCCUCAUCGUCUUAAGAUUAUUUGUUAAUAAUUAUGUAGAAAGGAAAAAAGAUGGAUGAUUUCAAUUUCCACCAAUCGAUAUGCAUGCACGAGUCUGAACUGAGACUGAGAAGACUAUUAGUACAGUGACGGAGGAAAAUAAUCUACUGAAGCACCGAGUUGCCCAUUUGGAUUUUUCGGAGAAGGUUGAUCUUUAAAGUUCAUUGUUUAUUCAACCAACCACAAAAAAAUUUAUUAUUUAUUCAACCAAUCAUAAACAAUCUUUUGUAUAUUAAAUUUUUUUUUAAAAGUUCCAGAUGAAAUGAUAUUUUGAAUAUUAUCUGCAAUAUUCACGUGAUUGGUACCACAUUUUUUAUUUUCUUAUUAACAAAAUUAUUUAUUUCGUAGGGACCGUAUUCACGCUUCCAAGUUUCUCAUACAUAUGCAAUUUAACCAUUGCGGUUGAUUAGCAUUUGAGUUUUGACAUGGGAAGCGGUAGGGAUGGGAAUAAAAUCCGGAUCCGCAUGUUAAAUAAUGCAGAUUUACAUGUAAGAAAUUAAAAUCUGCACGGAUCCGAAUCCAAAUUUAAAUAUAAGUGCAUUCAAAAAAUCAGAUAUUCUGCUAAUUUUUAUAUUAAAUUAAAAAAAUAUAUAUUAACUUUAACUUAAAAACAAAUUUAACCCAACUCUCACAUUCACACGCGCUCACAACACUUUUCCAGCAGCCACAACCCACAAACCCCUAACACCCAAAUCCCCCUAAUUCCGUAGGAUGUCGCCGUCUGCCUCACGGCCUCGCCUAAGCCUUGUGUCCAAGCCUCGAUCUAAGUCGGUCGCUGUCGUUGCGCGCUGCACGCCUCGAUCUGAGUCGGUCGCUGCCGCUGCACGCUGCACGCCUCGAUCUGAGUAAGUUGCUGCCGCUACACGCUCGAUCUGAGUCAGUUGCUGUCGAAUCCUCGCCAUCGAAGAAGCCUCUCGCUGUCGAAUCCUCGCCCUCGGAGAAGCCUCGUCUAAGCACUUUAAUUAAAAUGGUCUUGGCAAGCCUUGUUGAAUCCUUUGGCCUUUGUUGAUUCAAUUUAGUUUAAUUUUGAAUAAAUUUCUUUGCUGAUUCGUUUCAUCACUUUAAUUAAAUGCAUUAAUUUUCAAUAUAAUGUAAAUGUUUAAUAGGUUUUGGGAUUAGGUUUUAAUUUGGAAAAUUGUUGAAUUUUUAAAUUAAAAAUUUAAAUGAAAUCUUGGUGAAACCUGUUGUCAUCUGCCGGUUAACAUAGCUAGUCUCUGAAAUAAUUUCUUGAUUCACUAAUUAUGAGUUCAAAUUUGAUGCAGAAUGGGCAACCAGCCUACUGCAAACAAAUCUUCUGGAACAGUUCAGAUGAAGGGACAGCCAAUCCAGCAAAACAGUUAUAAACAACUCUAAAUAAAUUCAUAUACGCAUAGCAGCUAAUUACAGUCUUGAUACUUCAUUAGGUUUUUGUUAAUUUUCUAUACAGUUGUGCUGUGCAUUAAAGUUUUGUUAAAUGAAAUCGGUAGGUGAGGAUUAAUUAAUCAAUUAAUUAAGAUCCAGUUAAUGUAAUUAAUUUUAUUUGAUUUUUUUAAUUCGAGUUCUAAAUUAAUCAAUUAAUUUAGAUUCAUGUGAAAUUGAAGUGAAUUAGUUUCGAUCUGUUUUUCGUCCUAUGUUUGUCUGUGUUUACUCUUACUUUUUUUUUGUUUAAAUUUUCGUUUUCUUAUUGUUUACUGAAUAAAUUUCUGAGCUGUAUUUGAGUAUGAUUGAUUUGUGAUUUUAAUUUGUGACUUUUUUUUUUGGAAUUUAAAUCUGAAUGCUUUUUAAGUUGAAUCUGAUUGUGUUGGGCUGCGAUUUAAUUGAGUGAUGAGGGAGCGCCAAAUUGUGAGAGCCAAAUAUUCAAUAACCGAUAAAUUAUAUUUAUAAAUAUUAAUAGCGAUGGCACAUAAACAAUUAAUUCAAGAACUUGCCCAUAGUGAUUAAUUUAAAGAGUAUAAGUAACAUUGCAGUACAGUUAGCCCUUGCGUGUUUAAUUAGCAAUUGAAAACUAAUGUUGCUGAUGAGGUAGAACAUUAUAACACUGUUGCUGAUGAGGCAGCUGGUAAUUCUUCUGGUGAAGAUAUUAAGACUAUUAAAGCUGAAAUGUAAUUAGAGAAAUAUAAUGCAUUCCCUUAGUUUGCUUUUUGUUUUUGAUAUUUGUUUGGCUAAUGCUUUGCUUAGAUUACUUUUUGUUUUUGAGAUUUUAUUGGCUUAGUCAUGGGGUAUUGUUUUCUCUUCUAAUUUCUAUUUUUGUUGUUAUGGGAUUUUAUUGGCUUACUUUUUGUUUUUGAGAUUUAUCCAGUGCUUUCAAUAAAUCAUGGUCGAUUUACUGUUAAUUAAUCAAAUUUAAUUUACCCAAAUUACUCAUGUACACGAUCAAAAUAAUUAUAAUUCCAUGAUAUAUAUACACGCGCGCACACAAACAAAAUGUAAUUAACUUUGAAAUAUAAAAUAUUUAAAAUAAUCACCGUACUAACAAUUCACAAAUCAGAUUUUAUAUAAAUAGACGCAAUAAUGUUAAUCUAGCGAAUCCAGUCAUAAUAAUUUGAUUUUCAUUUAUAUUAAUUAUGUCAAACCAUGCUAUUUUAAUAAAUAGCACUUGAGAAUAUAUAUAUCCAACAUGUAAAAUUUCAAAACAAUAUUUGCCAAAAUCUGAUGAAGAGAAUAUACACGCACGCACAUAUAUAAUCGUACAGCAGAAGGAUAAAUAAAAGAAAAUGAAGUUUCAACAGUUGAAUAAUGCAAAUUCAUUUUUUUUUAACAAGCAUUUUAUUGUUUAAUUAAAAAAUUCGAAAACCGAUUGGUCUUAUAUACAUGAUAAAAACUCACCGACGCCGAACCAUAUUCAUUUAAAUUAGUUUUCAACUGAGAUUUGAAUUUUAAAAUUAUAUAAACAAGCACGCCCAAUUUUUUUUUUUAAAAAGUAGUAAUUAUAAAAUAUUUAUGUCGUCCUCUAAAAAACCAAUUUACAAUCUAUAAAACCAAUUUACAAUCUAUUUCAACAUAAGGUAUAUGGGUUAACAAGUCCCAAUAUUGUCCUCCAUCCUUUCUGCACUUCUCUUCUAUCAACCGACAUCUCCAGAUGUCUAAUUGCAAAAGUGAGGAAGGCAGGCCCUUCUCCGGAAAGUAUUUGAGCUUGGGACAUUCCCAGAGAUACAAUUCAGUGAGGUUUUGAAGAUCAACAAUUGAAGAAGAUAGGCGUUCCAGAUUUGGAAAUUUAUAAAUGCUCAGAGAUGUUAGAGAGGCAGGAAGAGGAAGCGCGGUCCCUAAUCUUUUGUCCUCUAGUGGAAAUGACGCCAUGUCGUCAUCGCAUCCUCUGAUUUCAAGACGUCGCAGAGAGGAGAAUCUGUGAAAUCCCCGUCCCCGCUCAAUCAUUGACUUCCAAAUCUCCAUAUUACCCCAAAUAUCAAGUGACUGAAGGUUGGUGGGGAGGCCAUCUUCUUCUUCAAGGCUUGGAAGCGCACCUCCUUUUCCUAUUGUUAAUUCUUGAAGAGAGCUCAGAUUGUGCAUUCCCUUGGGUAAGGCCUCUAGUCUCUUACAAUUAGAUAUCGCCAGCCUCCUGAGUUUCGCACAAGGCAAUCCCCCUUCGGGAAAGGACACCAGAUUUUUACAACUAUCUAUGCUGAUUGUUUCAAGAGAUGUGUUGUUGUCCAACCUUUCUGCUAUUGACUUCAACUUUGAACAACUCCAAACAACGAGGGACUUAAGAGACGAAGGUGGAUUGCCAACUUCAAGGGACUCAAGCGUGGCAGGUAACUCGUUUUUUGAAAAUAUACAUGUCAGAGAUGGACAACUAAUAAUUUCUAAGUGCUCGAGAAGAGAUGAGGUGUACCUUCUGCUGCUGCUGCUACACUGGAUGCCCUCUUCCACUGUCAAAGUCCUUAUAUUAUCACAAUCUCUGAUGCUCAACUUCUUAAGGCUCGGUGGCAGCUGGACAGCAGCAACAUAUGUCAACGAAUGGCAAUUCAGAAUAUUCAAGAUCUCGAGAGACGAAUUGGUGUCGCACAUCCAUGCCUCUGGUAACGAUUUCAGUGCACCACAAUACCUAAUCUCAAUUUCCUUCAACUUGGAAGGCAGAGCAACCUCAGGAAAGGAAACAAGGGAACUGCACUUCCAGAUUUCUAUCUCUCUCAAGGAACUGAGGCUGAACGAUGAUUGUGGCAGCUUCACAAGGCCUUCGCAAUUACUCAAUCUUAGAUAUUCAAGUCUGCAUGACAACUCGCAGAGCUGCUGUUGUUGGUCUUUCUUUUCCUCCGCCACCAAGGAUUGAAGUUUGGGACAGCUUGUAAUCGUCAGUCUUUUGAGAGAGCAAAUGUCUUGCAGUAAUUCGUUAUGACUCUUCCAUAUAUGUGUUUCAUUUUUAAUAUUUUUUAUCUCCAAUUCUUCCAGUUUUGGUAUUCGCGGCUUCAAUGGCCCUGCGAGAAACACUUGAUUUGAUGUAUCUCUACAAACCACUGCAUUCUGUGAGCCGAGAUGAUCAAUUGCACUUCUCCACACAACCUUUUUACAUCCACGAAUUACCAAUUUGCAAAGAGCUGGAAGACUCCUAAUUGAAAUUGACAAUUCUUCGCAUUGUUCAAUAACAAGCAUCUCCAAUGCAGGAAGCUGCUCUGGAAAUGUUCCUUGCAGUUUAGAACAUCUUAAAAUGUGAAGCUCUCUCAAUUUAGGAAACCCUUCAACUCCCUGACUGGAUCCAUGAGGAAACCACUCUUCCCACUCUUGCAGGUCUUCAAAAUGAAGAGUCUCCAAGCAUGUAAAUGGAAUUUGAGAGUCAUCCCCAUAGAACUCUGAACCCAAUCUCUUUACUCUACUCAUUCCACGCACUGUAAGAUGCUUCAGAGAGGGCAGUUGGCCGACUGACGGCAGGGCAGUACACAUGCCGCAAUCUUCAAAUUUAAGUGUUACUAAAUUUAAGAAUGAGGAAUCUCCUAACCAUGUUGGAAAUUUUGUACCUCCAUAGCCACAGAUGCCAAAUUGUUCCAGAUUUUUAUGGGGUUUGAGCAUGUCAAGCACACCCAUUUCAGUUUCUGCCUCCCUUGAAGAUGAACCAUCGGUGCUGCAAGUCCAAUUAAGCGAUAAUUCUCUAAGAUUCUUCUUUCCAUCCAACCGAGCCUCCUUUGCAUCACCAAUGUCUUUUACAUUCUCUAAUUUUGAAAUUUUAAGUGUCCCCUGAAGAUGUAUCAAUGACUUUAGCUCUCGUAACCCAGAACCAUUGUCUUUUCCCACAGCAAAAUUACCCAGCGUUUGAAGACAAGUCAGCUUACCAAUUCCUAGUGGCAUUUCCUCCAAGGAAUCUGUAUUUGAAUUAUUGAGAUGAUGCAAUUUGAUGAGAUUUCCCAUGUCUGCACACAACUUCUUCAGUCGUCGACAGCCCUCCAAAAGAAGGGUGUGCAAGUUGUAAAGCUUGCUGACUGAUUCAGGCAGAGUUUUAAUCUCAGUUCCAGACAGGUUAAGGUGCCUUAAAUACCUCAAAUCACCAACUGAAUCCGGCAGCUCGGCGAUGCAAUAUCCACGCAGAGAGAAGACCCUUAAGCUUUGGAGUUUGAACAACUUAGGAAGAAUGCUAUGAGCCAAGUAUCCAUGCCGACUAUUUAACAUCACUGGUAAAAAAGUUCUCAAAUGUUGGAUAUCAUACAAUUUCUCAAACCUUUGAACGCCAUCAUAAUCUCCACGAAUGUACGACAGAUAACGAAGAUUUCUAGAAAAACAUUGUUGCUUGUUAACCUCCGAGGUAUACUCCAGUGUGAAGUAUGUCUCCCCUGCAGCCCAACGGGCAAGGUCGUUGAUAAGAUCGUGCAUAACAAAUCGUGAUAUACUGUUGCUCGAUUGCUGGAAAAAAGAUCUUCCACGUAGCUCUUGAAAGAACUUUCGACCGAGAUCUUCACUAGGAUUCCCACUCUCUCCGUGAUUCAAGAAACCCACAGCACUCCAUAAUAAAAUUAUCUCCCCCUCUUCAAAUUCAUAAUCCUUUGGAAACAAUGAGCAAUACGCAAAGCAUUGUUUCAAAGGUGCCGAAAGAUAAUAGUAGCUCACUCUAAGCGCCGGCAUAAUGUCACAUCUCUCUUCUUGCAAUUCCCAUAUCUUGGUACUGAGCACUCUCUCCCAAUCACAUCUGUCAUCUUUUCCUCGCAAAAGUCCUCCAAGUGUUUGCGCUGCCAAGGGCAAGCCAUCGCAUUUGGCCACUAUCUUCUUGCCAAUUUCCUCCAAUAACUUAUCUGACCCCAAAGAGUGUUGAGCGAACACAGACAGACAAUCAUCAUUUGACAACUUUUUCAAUUGAUAAGCCCGAACAGUCCCCAUGAUGGCUGCAACCUCUUGAUUACGAGCUGUGACAAUAAUCUUACUUCCCGGUGCGCCAGCUUCAAAUGGAGGUCUGAGUCGAUCCCAAUCAUUGUAAUUCUCAUUCCAAACGUCAUCUAAAACAAGCAAAAAUUUUUUUCCAGAUAACUUCUUCUUCAGCUCCUCUUGAAGCUUAUUCAAGUUGUGAUUAUCCACGUUCUGGUCAGGAACAAUGGAUAUCAAGAUUGUUUUUGUUAGCCUGAAAACAUCGAAAUCAUCAGAGACACAAGUCCAUGCCUUGAGAUCAAAAUGAUCCUGCACUUGCUUAUCAUUGUAGACAAGCUGAGCAAGAGUGGUUUUGCCCAGCCCGCCCAUACCUAUGAUAGGAAUAACAGAGAAUUCACCAUCGUUGCUUAAAUCAUCCCUCAAAAGCAGUUCUACAACAUCCUUCUUUUCUGUUUCUCUGCCAUAUGCUUUGGCUUCCUUCACCAAAGAAGUUGUCUCUCGCCUUUGCCUGUCUUUUAUGGUCCUCCCACCUGAACUUACGUUCAAACCCAGCGAAUCCUUCUGAGUUACAAUUUCUUGAAAUCUGCCGUUGAUCUCUUUGAUUUUGGACAUUAUGGCGUAAUCGAACUGAAUCGAUUGUGGAGCAAAAGUGGUGCAGCAAGUGGGAAUGAGCUUCCGAAACUUACUUGUUCUUGUACGACUGCUACUGGGUUGAUCAAGAGCAGCAGCAGGUUCUCCAUUUCCAAGCAGCAACUUCCUCCGGAAAACCUCAGUUUGAAACUCAUCCAACAGGUCCUCAACAUCAUAAGCCAAGUUCUGAAGCUCGCCAAGCCACAACUUCACAGACUGAUCAGUCGUUUUCUUCUCCUCAGCAUCAGCAAGCACCGCCUUGAUCAUCACCAACAUAUUCUUCCACUUCUUUAGGUCGGCCUGGAUUUGCUCUUGGCGUGCAAACAACCGAAUCCCCUCUGAAGCUAACUUAUUGACCAGCAAAUCAACGGAAGCCGUAAGGAUUGCCUCUCCGAUGAUUGACAUUUUUUUUUUGUUUUUGUUUUGCAAAGAAAGAAACAGAAUUUUGAGUUUUGAAAAGCAAAAUGAGAAAAUUGAACAGUAAGUGUGGAGGGUCAAGCAAAAUGCGCGUAACAAGUCUUCCGCUUGUUGUUUAUUCCAGUAAAGCUAGAAUAAAAACAGAGCCCACCACCCAUUAAUAAUAAUUGAGCAAUUCACCAACCACCAAUCACCAGUCACCACUACUCGUUACCAUGAAUAUAAUAAAUUGCAACUUGAUAUUUGCAGGGUCCAGCAACAUUGACCCAGUGUCCGGGUAAAUGCUGAUAAAUCAAAACGUUUAUCUCUCUCUCUCUUUUCCAUAAAAUUACUUUAUUUAUUGAAUUAAUUUCCAUGCUAAAACGAAGACUUAAAAGUGCACUACAAUUUUUUAUAAUCACAAUGAUAAUUCUUACUAUCAUGUUAUCUUAAUGUCGUGUCAAAAUAAAUUAUAACAAAGUUUUUUCUAUAUGAAUACUCUUUUCAUUUAUAAAUUUUUCAGUUUUUAAUAUUUUUCUCACUCUUUUAGUCUUAAUAUUUGUAUUCCUCUCUUCAAACUUUCUUAAUUAUUUAAUUUUUAAAGAAAAAUCUAAAAAAAAGUAAGAAAAACAUUAUACUUAGAAAAUAAUGAAUAUUUUAUGGGUAUAAUACAAUUUUGUCUCACCUAUAAAUUUGUUGUUUAGCAAUUAGUUUGAGAAUUUUAAAAAAUUAUUUACAGUAGGAUAAAUUUUUAUUUAAUUUAUUUUUUCACAAUAUUGUAUCUUAAUUAAUUAAGUUGUUAUGUUUAUUACAAAAAUUUUGUUUUGGCUUAGAGGAUUACUUCUUAAAUUCAAAUUAUUUUAAUGAUAAUAAAAGAUAUUUAUAUUGUGUAAACAAAAUAAAAUUGAAGAGAGAAAGAAAAUAUAAAUGACUUAAUUCUAUUUAUAUUUGUCCUUAAAAUGUAAUUGUAAUAGAAUAAGGGUUUUAUAAGAUUAAUGAAGGGAUACCGAUAGUCCUACUCUUAUGGAAAAUGGCAGUAAAAAUGGAAUGUAUCCACUACAAACCUUCGCUUUACAAGUCUUCAAUCAAACAUGUAUUGAUUUGUAAAAGGAUCACUAGCAUCCGAUUAUUGGGAGGUAUUAUGGAGAAGUCACGCUUAGUAUUUACAAUUCAUGUAAGAUGAAUUUGUAAGACUUAUUAAUUUCGAUGAAAAUAUAGAUUUAUUAAGUUACUAAUUCAUUAAGUUAACAUGAGAUAUUAAUAUUUACUAAUUGUGGCGAUUAAUUUAUUUAACUUGUCAUGAUUUUCAAUUAAGAAGGAAGUUCAGUCAAUUUAUGGAAAGAAGGAUAAUUUUUUUUUUCAGAAUUUUAAUUUCUAGGAUUUUAUUUCACUUUGUUUCGAUUGUUGAUGUUGCUAAAGAGGCAGUGAAAGUUUGCUGAAUGCCAUCAGAUGCUUGUAUCUUAUCUCACAAAAUGUCAAUAUCGGUUUGUUUCCCUAUAGGCGCAGCCAUCAUGAAUUGAAAGUAACAACGUGAUGAGCAUAUAACAUAUACAUAUUUUACCAUUAAUUAUAUAAUUGUUAGUUAUUUUUAUUUGUUAUUUUUAAUUAAUUAAAUUAUUUUGUUGAAUAAAAAAUUAAUUAGAGAUUCUAGAUAAAAAGGGCAUGAAGAAGUUUAAUUUGGGAAGCAAAAAAAAAUAAAUUGAAAGAUAAAAAUACAGACAAGGAUUAAUGGAAUCCAAGCCGAAAAAAUCAAAGCACAAGGAUUUUCUUAAUGUCAUUAUUUAGGCAAGGGUUUUGAUGCAGCGGAAGUUUAAGAGAAUCAAAUCUGAAGAAUUUAUUAAGAGAAUCAAAUUGGAAGUUUUGAUGCAGCAAAAAAAAACUGAAGUUUGAAUUUCACUCACAUAGGUAAUAAGAGAAUUAAAUUAUUGUUAGAUUAAAUUGAUUAAAAAAAAUUAUCUGAUAUCCAAAACAGCAUAUCAACAAAAUUGAAAUAAAAGAAAAUUGAAGAGAAAAACCAUCGAGAGAACGAAAAUUAACACACGAAAAUUUCGAUAACUUCACUUAUUAAAACUUGGUUAUUUCAUUUUCAUUGAUAAUCAUUUUGACACCGGUCAAAUUUAAAAGUUUAAAUAAUGGGGGCGCUAUUUCUUUCCAGCUAUGCCCAUCGACUAAUUAAAAUACCGCCGAAACAGUUCAGGGAUAGUAUAGUAAUUUCAUUUAACAGUUUUCGUGCUUCAAAUCAUCAAAUCAAACUCACGGUUUCCGACUUGUAAUGGGUGCAACUCAUGUUUUUCAAACAUUAAGAUCUUUUGCCAUUCUGUUACUAUCCCAUGGUUAUUUAAGUUACAAGAGACAGUAAAAAACAUCAUCAUAUUUUAACGUCCUUUGAAUAUUUGAAGAGGUUAAAAUUUAGGCAGUGUUAUAUAAAAUAUAAUGUAAAUUAGUCUCAGUAAUUGUGUAGUUGUAUGUGAGAAAACAUACAAUGUAAAAGUGUGUGUGAGAAAACAAAAAAUAUGAAUCACCUUUGAUGUAGUUGUAUGGUUGUAAAGAAUUAGAUGGAGAAAUAUAGUAUAUAAUUAAAUUUAUUUUGUUCUUUAAAACGGAUAGGUUUUAUGCAAAUUUUUCAGAGGAGUGCCAAUAUUUCAACUCUAUCAUUGCUAUUAGUUUGUCUUGUAAUUCAAUCAUUGCCGACAAGUAUUAAUUGUGACUAUUAUUAUUUUAAAAAUAUUAUUAUUAUUAUCGUCGUUAUUCUUAACAGCAAUGACUAGAAUUAUAAUAAUAACAAUAACGUCAAUACAAUAAUAUAACAACAUAAUAAUAUUUUAAUUGGGGUCUUCCACCUGGGUAUGCAUGAUUCCUUGUGACAUGAUAUAGGGUGCGUUUGGGAUUGAGGUUAGGCAGCUGUAGCUUAAAAGCUACAGCACUAAAGUGUUUGAUAAACACUAACUGCUGUAGCUUUUAAGCUAUAUUGAUAUGAUUUUUCACUUGUAUAAUACAAAAUCUAUUAUAUCUUUAAAAAUUUUAUCAAAAUUAUUAUUUAAAAUUUAUAUUUACUAUAUAUUAUUAAAUUUUGUUUCAUAAUUACAGUUUUUUUUUCACAGCAGCUGUAGCUUAAAAGCUACAACACCUCAAUCCCAAACGCACCCAUAGAGCCAAUUAAAUUCUGAAAUGCGUGCAAUAAAGACUGUAAAGUGACCAGUUAUUCCGGUUGAAUUCACAAGAGCUCUUGUUUGUGUGUUUAUGUUUCAAGUUGUGUACUCUGUGUUACGAGUUCUCUAAUUAGUCUGAUAUUAUCGCAAUUAUUGCUCAAUAAUGUUACAAGUAUUAUAAUAUAUGUCACUAGUACGGUCGUUGUCUCGAGUGGUACACAUUAAGGCACAAAUUUAGAACGAAAAGCUUCCCAGUAAAAUAAGUUAUUUAAUUAAUUAAAUAAGAAUAAAAUGAAUUUGUGAAAGAAAUUUAAAUUUUAUUUUGAAUUAUUUUGACCAAAAUUUAAGUUUUUUUUUUUUAAAUUUGUUUAAGAAAAUGCAUUGUAAUUGUCUUGUUUUAAUUGGAAAAUCAAUAAAAAAAAUUAUGUAACAGAAAAAAAAAAAAAAAAAAGCAAAACGGUUUGUUUUGGAUGGAGUCCAUAGAUUCCAAUAUUUCCUUCACGAAAACUACAAAAAAUUAUCAAAGCCAUCAAUUUCUACACUCUCACCGAGCAAAUACUCUCAACCUAGAUGAAAGUGUAUAAAUCAACCCCAAUCAGUCCAUCAAUGUCGUCAACCUCAUACAGCAUAAAAAAAUCUGUGUCCAUUAAACCGCCAUCUUGCCAUCUCGUUGUAGUAUUUUACUGUUCAAAUCUAGUUAUCAAUUGGGCAAAAUGGGGACCAAUCUGCAAGUCUUUAAAAUAGAAAGAAACUUUAAUUGAGCACUAUGUUCACGGUGGUGGACCCGGCGGCAGUAAUCUUUAGGGUGGAGUUAUUUAUAUUUUAAAAAUUAUUUUAAACACUCUAAUUUUAAUAAGAAUAUGUAUUACAAAAAUAUUUAUCAUAUAAGUUACUAUUAAGAAUAAUAUAAUAUAUUAUAAGUCAACAUUAUAUAAUUAUUGUGAACACUUGUAUAGCACAAUCCUUAUUUAUUUUAUUAUUCUCAUGACUUAAAUAUAAAAAUUUUUAUUUCCAACAUCUUAAUUAAUAUGUAGAUGAAUAAUAAGGAAAUUAACUUUGAGAAAAAAUUAAAUACAAAAUAUGUGUAAUACUUUUAAAAAAUAAAAUAAAACAAAAGUAUUGCACAAGAUUUUUUUUUGGGAGGGAUUUUGCCAUUCUUCUUCUUCUUCUUCUCCUUCUCUCUCUCUCUCUCUCUCUCUCUCUCUCUCUCUCUCUCUCUCUUUUGGUAGUAUUUAUGGAACAUUUUCUCUUGUUAUGUUCUCAUUGCAAGUUAUUUUGGGUGCAAAAGUCAAUAUUAAAAAUAAAUUAAAUAAAAAAUUAGUAACUAAAAUUAUGUUAAAUUAUUUUUUUACAACUUAAUUUUUAAUUAUAUUUUGUGAGUAUAUGCUAAAUCUCUUAAAAAUAGAGUGUUGAAUAAUUUUAUUAGUUUUUUUAAAUAAAUGAAGCUAAGUAACUUAAAAAGUUUAGUAAGGAUAUUUUUGAAUUUUAAAUAAUGUACAAAGUAAAAUUUAAUUUUUUUAUAAUUAAGCUACGAGCGUGCAAAGUAAUAUUUAGAGUGCUAAUAGUCCUACCCUAAUCUUUAUCAUCACAUUAUUUUCCAUAAAAAGUUUACAAUUAUCUCUUUAUUGGAUAAUUUUGUUCCCUCUCUUACCGUUAUGUUCCCCUACAUUCUCAUAUCUGCAUCACCAUUUAAAUUGUAAUCAUAACGUUAAUCUUUAUCAUUUCACAUAUUUUGCCAAAUUUAUACGCACUGCAAAGCUCUUUCCUUUUUUUUUUUUUUCCCGUUAAGUUUGCUAUAAUGUACAUGAAGAAUAGUUAAAGAGCUCUUUCGAGUCCUUAUCCUUUCUUUCGAGUUUACUUUUGCUUUUUUUUUUUUUUAACGUUUCUCUGGAAUUCACUUCAACAUCACUGGCGCGUUUUCUUCUUUCUCACUGCAACAUCAACUGGGCCACCACCUCUUGCCUCUCCCGGUUCCCCUCAAUUUUCGUAUUCAAUGUCCACCGUUGAUUGUACAUUUAUUAAAAUUCUGUGGUUAUUAUUUUUUGCAUAUAUUUAAUUCCACACGGUCUAGAUCGUAGUUGUGUCCUUUUAAUUGAGGAUGAGAAUGAAAUUAUGAAAUUUAAGUUGGGUAAAAAUGGUGAGUAUGAGGAAAUUAAAUUACAAUUCUUUAAGAUAAAUAAUUUGUAAAUCCCACAUAUUUCAUUUUUAUUUCUCUAGUUAAAUUAUAUUUUAAUAAAUAAAUAUAAUCAAUUAUUUUAAUAUUUUAAUUAAUAAACACGACAUUAACUACGGAACUAAAAAAUCCAAAAAAAAAAAAACAGAGGCGUGUGUGUAUUGCUUGUGACAAAUGUCACCCAUGGAAAACCUUGUGAAAGGCAUUUGAAUGUGUGGCCACAUUUAAUGAACGAAACGAUAACUUUAAAAGAAAGUAUGUACUGUGUUAAUUAUUAGGCUUUAGCUUAAUGAUUUCAAUUAGUUUGUCUUUUAAUUAAAUUAUUGCCGACAAACACUAUCACGACCCACGUCCGCUACUUGUGUGAAUGUGUGUAUAAAUAUCCGCAGCAUAUUAUCAAACUUGAUGCGUGAUCAUCUUUAAGUUUUGGUUACGGUUCAUCAGACGUUAGAAGACAUCUUUUUUAAUUUGAAGAAGAUGGAAACUCCGCAGGUUCUUAUGCCAUGUUCAAUUGAAUGUCAUUUAUAAUUUUUAUUUUAAUAUUAUGUAUUUAUGAAUAUAAUUAUUAUUAUGAUUUUUUCAAAUAAAAACGGAUGGUCUAAGGGUAAUUCAAUAACUAUGUACAGUAUUAUUAAUGAUGAGAGCGUGAAUGAUAAUUUAGAUUUUAUUCUCUUCUCUCAAUACAGAAGAAAUCUCGACUGUAGUAGUUAAGUGUUAUGUAACUCUUUCGUAUUAUGUUCAAUUAAUAAUAAAAUGAUGAGUUAUUAUUACCUGUCAAUUAUGUGAGUGUCUUUGUUUGAUUUAGUUCAACUUAUAAAAUCUCUUGAGAUAUAUAAGAGAUUUUCUUUGUUUACUUUCAUGUACCGCGUCUUCUUGUAAAAAGUAAUUAAUAAAAAAAAUAUCAUUGUGUGCCAUGUAUUGACUAAGUUAGUGUAUUCAUGUUAGGUUAAUUGUGCUCUCUCUUCUUGAUUUUUUUUUAUUAAAAAAAACUCCACGUAUUCUUGGUUAGCUAAUUCUUGCAGGUAGCAAGUGAUCGAUCCUUUUCUUUCCCCUACUGCUGUACCACCAAAUCCUUACAAUUACAUAUCAAGUGGUAUUCGAGCCGUCAAAGGAUCCAUGGAAACACGCAACAAAUCAAAUGCUGAAUUUUGCGAAGAGAUUCACGAAAUCCUUGCUAUACAUGAGUCUAGUUUUGACCAAGUUCACGUCACGCAUCAGCUGCGGGUUUGAAUGGUACCUAGUGGAUAUUUUGUGAGUUCCCACUAAUAAAAUCACACUUGCACAAAACUUAAAAAUUUAAAUUACGUAAUUCAAAUUAUAAAUUUAUAAUGGUAGCCUAAAAAAUCACAUAAAAUACUUAAUUCUAGAUUUUAUCAAUGUAAAUGAGAAAUGACAGUUUUAACAUUAAAAUAAAUACACAAAAUAUAUCAAUUUAACAUAAAUUUUUAAAUUUAAUUACCAAAUACAUAAGUCUAUCGCAACUCAAAGUGCUUUCAAUUGAAAACGAAAAAAGAGAAAGAAAAAAAAAACAAAGAACUACAAAUCAAAAUAGCAGCCAUGACCCAUUUUACAGUCUCAUUCAAUACCACUAGCACCCAUCAAACACGAUUUUUCUAAACAAAGUAUAAAGUACAAAAUUACAAUAAGCAUAUCAUACUCCAUGCUUUAAGUUAAAGAUCCUUAUAUCUUUUUAUGAAUAAUUUUUUAAUGAAAUUUUAUGAUUAAAAUUAAAAAUACAAACAUUCAAAUAAGAAUGUCGGACACUUGCGCAACUAUUCACCAAAUUUUUUCUCUAUAAAAAUCGACCUGCAACUUUCAAUAGGUUUAAAUUUAUAAUAUCAAACCUGAUUGCAGCUCGCAAAAAUUAUCCGUUGCGGCCAAGACUUUGGAUUUGCGAUGAUUUUGCCACCCUAAGUGUAGUUAGUAUUGUAUAUCAUGUGGCUCUUAUAAAAAGCCUAGAAGUUGUUUGAAUAACGGGGUAGACACAUAUCUCCCAAAGAUUUUCUCUUUUUCAAAUUAUUAUUUUUUCUCUAUUAUUGUAACUUCGAAUCCUUAUAAAUUACAGAUUGGAGACAUGAACACAAUGUUUUGACAUAGUGGACUUUUGGCUUGUCCAAAGAAAUUUAGGAUAGAUUUUUACGCACUAAGGUUCUAUUUACUAUUGAAGUUUUAGAACUUUUAAGCCACACCAGAAAUUUUUAUUGUUUUGAUAGAGUUGUAGUCUUUGAUAUGUGAUUAGUAUUAAUUAAGUGUUAUGUUUACAAUAGUUAAAGGCAUAUUGAAUCAAAAUCCACUUCUAAGGGCUUGAUUGAGUGAUUGUAAAGUAGGUUUUUAGUUUGCUAGCCACUCAAGUUCAAAUAUUGGAACCACAUAGCUUUAUAGCCAAGUGAGAGAACUUGUGCCCUAAAAAUUGAGGGGUGCAUAUCGAGUUUUACCACCAAUAAAAGUUGGUGUUAAAACUUUAAUUUCCCUCCUAUUAAUGGAUAUGGGUGAUUAGGAGUUUACAUCCCCUCCUAUUAAUAGACAGGGAUUAUUAGGAAUAUUAAAAAAAAGUUCAAAUAUUGAAAAUGUAGGUAUGGGUUAUAAAAUUCAUAAUAUAAAGACACAAAAUCAAGAUAAAGAUUUAAAAAUUUAGAACCAUGAGAGCGUGACUUGUAAGUUUCAAAGAAGCAUGUGCAAAUAUAUGCAUUAUCGAUGCCCAAUUAAGGGUGGGCAUUAAGAUCGGGUUAACCCGAACCGAACCGAAUCAAACUUAAAAUUUAUUUUGGAUUUAAUUUGGUUAUAGUUGAAGCUUUCAACUGAGUUCAAAACUUAAAAAUGAUUGGGUUGUAUUUCUGUUCGAAUUUAACUCCAGAAGACUAAUCAAUCCAAUCGAGUUAAGUAAGCAAAUUAAGAAAAAAAAUCCCAAAAAAUUAAAACUAACCCUAACUAAAAUAUUCGACCGGGGCCUCCUCGUUUUCUUUUCUUCUUCCUCCUCUCGCUCACCCCUAAUGCCCAUUCAUGGAAAUCCAACAGCUCCAAACGCGUUUCAGCCGCUCGCACGUGUGAGAAAUUUUCCUUCUCAUAGGAUUAUUCGUUUCCUUCGCUUGCAUGCCAGCAGAAUAUUCAGGCCGAGGAUUUUUCCGGGCCUAGCCCAACUAUAAGCUCUCCCAAAACCCAAUCAUAAGUUCAUAACGUUUAGCGUUUGCUAUUACUAUAAUAUUUUUUAACGAAUUUUCACAUUCAUCAACAUAGGCUGACAGAUUUUGUAGAAAAUAAAAUUAAAUAAAAAUACAAGCUCACGAAAUUCCUUUUCCGAUGUGGGAAUCUAUCUACACCUUUCACGUGCUUUUUUUUUUUUGGUGGUGGGGGAUUCCCUUGCUUUUGUUUGCAUUGCCUUAUUGGAUAAAAGUUUGUACAACAUCGUCUGUUUGGUUAAAGCCGAGCAUGAGUGAAGAAAUUUUUUUUAAAAAAAAUUUCCCAUUAAUUUGCAACAAGUAUUAAUAAAGUGCAUGAGAAAAGACACCGGGAUAUGCCUUUUUUAAAAUGAAAAUAAAUGUGUUAAUUAGUCAAUUUAAAUGGUAUGACAUUUUGAAAUGAUAGAAGUGAUCUAAAGUUUAAAUCUUACACUUAAUUUAGGGGUGGGGAUUAAUUGAUGUAAUAUAUAAUAACGAAUUCGAAAGAUAAUUAAAAAUUAAAAGAAAAUAAAAAAGUGCUUUCUUUUUUAUGAUGGUAAUUUGUUUAGAUGAUGAAAACUCUUAGAGUGGUAUUAUCAAUACAUAGUAUUUAUUUUAUUAUAUUUUUAAAUUAAUAAUAAUUAUUAAUAUUCUUAACUAUGUAAAUCACAAUUAUUUUAUUAAUUUUAAUUUAAAUUAUAUAAAUAAAAAAUUAAUAACAACAACACAAAUGAAACAUUAUUAUUGAUAAUAUAGUACAAAUUAAUUUUUUUAGAAUAAAAUAUUUAUUAUUAUUAAUUACUAAUAUUAAAUAAAUAUAAUAGUAUUAUUUUUAAAUAAGUAUAAUAAUAUUAUAUUUUCAAAUAAAAAUAGAAUAUAGUAAUAUUAUUAAUUCUUUAUGAAUAUAAUAAUAUUAUUUUUAAGUAAUUUUAACUUAGAAUCAAUAUAAAUUAUUAUUUUUAACCAAAAAAUUAAUAUUAUUUUAAAUAUGUUUAAUAUUAUUAUUUUUAAUAAAUUUAAUUUAUAAAAUAAUAAAAUAUUAUUAUUUAAAUAAAUAGGAUUUUACUUAUUUUAUUAAAUUUAAUAAAAUAAAUAUGUUUAAUAUUAUUAUUUUUAAUAAAUGUAAUUUAUAAAAUAAUAUAAUAAUAUAAUUUAAAUAAAUAUGAUAUUAUUUAUUUUAUUUUAUUAAAUAUAAGGGUAAAAAAUGAAGAGAGGCGAGUGAAUUCCCACUCCCACCUUCCUCCAUGGGAGUGGGAAUCCUACUCCCCACUCCAAAAUUAGGUGGGAUCCACACAGUGGAAUUCUCACUCCUCCUUUGAAAAUUAUAAGUAAACAUUGGAGUAAAAGUAAUCCACACUCCUCACUCUCACUCCUUAAAAUAAACACUACAUUAAAGAAGCCACUGACUCAUAAGAAAACCAUGAUUAAGUACACGACGAAACAUGUGAGCUCGUUUUUCAAUUUCUUUGAUCACUCAUAAGCUUUUCUAUACCACUCACUAUAUCAUCCUUUUAAGUCAAUUUUGACUGAUCAUAAGAGAUUAUGCACCCCACCUUGAGAUGAUUGAUCACCAAUUUGGCAUUGUAACGUUGAUCACCUCUAAUUGGCCAUGCUAAAAUUGGGACCCCAUUGCCAAUUACUUCUACAGUUAAAUUUUAUCUACAGUGAGAUAAAAAUCCACCUAUUAAUUGAUAACUUAGUAUCAAUAAUUAUGGCGCCGUUCCAUCUAUUAUCAAACCCUUUUUACCGGCUCUACUAUCUAAACCACUACGAAAAUAAGCUGGUUAAAAAUAAAAAAUCCCCAGUUACUCUGCUCAAACUCGUUAAUAUUUGUUUCCACCACCAAAGCAGCCACUCGUAUCUUUUAUUAAGCAUAAUGUUUUUAAACAAAUAUGAUGAAAACUCUUAGGGCCAGUUUGGUAAUGCUGCAGCUUUUAAAAUAAUUGCUGUUAGCUGUGCUGUAGAAAUAAUCAGCUGUGAAGAGAAUCAGUUAAGUGUUUGGUAAAUUUUAUUUUCAAAAGUACUGUGAAUUUUGAAAGCAGUUAUGGGUGUUUGGUAAAUUUUAUUGUUAAACUGCUGUAAGAAAAUAAAUGACCAAAAUGUACAUAAUGUAAGAUGAAAUUUACCUAUACAUAUAAAAAUGUUGUAAGAAAAUAAAUUUACUUGCACUAGAGAAGUUUUGAUAGAACACAAAAUAUGAAGAAAUAGGGUAAACGAAAGGUGUGCGUUAAUUAUAAUAAAAAUUUAUUAAAAUAUUGAUUUUAUUUCUAAUUUAACUAAGGAUAAUUUCGGGUUUAAGUAAUAAUUGUAAGGAUAUUUAUGAAAUUAUAUUAAAGGAUAAAAUUGAUUCUCAAAAUCAGAAUCUAAAAGUUACUAUUUCCCUGCUUUUCAAAAUCAGUUGUAGGAGGAGCUGAUUCUGGCAAAAGUGAUUUUGAUUUUCUUUUACCAAACACCAAAAUUAGCUUUUAGAUUUUUAAAAUCACUUUUAACCCUCCCAAAAGCAAUCCCAAACGGGGCCUUAGAGUGGUAUUAUCCCAUGUUUACUCCAAUGAUUUGGUAUACGCACAUGUAUUUUGGUAUACGCACAUGCACGCUAUAAAUUUAGUCAAGAAAAGUGAAUGUAUCUACAUACAAAUACUUAUCCCAUAUAACUUCAUUUCUUCAACUGAAGAAUCGGUCGUCUCUCAUUUUUUAUUUAUUAUAUAAAGAUAAAUAUAUAAAUUUAAAUGGCGAGAAGAGCGGACGAGGAAUACGAUUACUUGUUCAAAGUGGUAUUAAUCGGCGAUUCGGGAGUCGGCAAAUCGAACUUACUCUCCCGAUUUACUCGUAACGAGUUCUGUUUGGAGUCCAAAUCCACUAUUGGCGUCGAAUUCACCACCCGCACUCUUCAAGUAACUAACUUUUCCUCUUUCACUUCUCUUCAUUUUUAUUAGUUAAUUAAGAUCCAGUUAAUGUAAUUAAUUUUAUUUAAUCUUUUAAAUAAAGUUCUAGAUUAGGCUAACUUAGAUUCAUGUCAAGUUGAAGUGAUUUACUUUCGAUCUCUUUUUCGUCCUAUGUUUAUUUGUACUUACUAUUACUUUUUUUUUGGGUAUUUUCGUUUUUGAAGUGUUUACUGAAUAAAUUUCUGAGCUUUAUUUGUGUAUGCUGAUUGAUUUGUGAUUUUAAUUUGUGAUUUUUUUUUUGGCAUUUAAAUUUGAAUGCUUUUUAAUUUGAAUCUGAAUGUGUUGGGCUGCGAUUUAAUUAAGUCAUGUGUGAGCACCAAAUUGUGAUAGCUAUAUAUUGGGGUGAAAAUUUGGGAUUUAAAGCUAUGUAUUUAAGAUGCAGUUAAUUGGCAAGUGAAAAUUAUGGGCCGGCAGAUUUUGUCAUUGGAAGACUGUUCUCCACAUGUUGAAGUUAGUGAUGCAAGUUGAAACCAAUCUGUUUAAGCUUGGGGUUUCAUGUCUUGAAUCAAGGCUGUGACUUGGGGUGGGUUGAAAGUAUUAUAGCUUUAGCUAUUCCUGAAGUGAUCUGUUUAGACUCACCGUGAUGAGACCGAGUGCUGUACAGUAAAAUGAAAGGAAGUUGGAAAAUAUUUACUUAGCAUUUCGCGUUACUAAUGUUGAACUAAUAAAACCUAGCCCCUAUCCUAGUGAAUUUAUGUUAAAAAGCUAUGCACGCAUUAAGUUAGUGCGAGAGUCUGCUGAAGCAUAUGUCAGCUGUGUGUUUGGAGCUGAGUAUUCUUCAUUCCACAUUUUGGGUUUUGGUUGACCUCCAGCAUGACUCAACCCACUUGAGUUAAAAGCCCUAGAGUUACAUUCUACCCAUGAUAUUUGAGUUUAUCAAGUCACCUUAUUUUAAUACUUCUCUGGAAAACAAAUAUAUAUGUUAAAUCAGGUAGGAAAAAUAAAAAGUUAAUUAUUUUAAUACUAAGGUUUUGAAACAUUAAGAUCUUUAGCCAUUAUGUUACUAUCCCGUAGUUAUUUAAGUUACAAGAGAUAGUAAAAAAUAACAUCAUAUUUUAAUUACUUACACUAAUCCUACAAGUGCUGAUGGUCUAAAGUUGCUGCUGCUUGCACUGAAUCAGUGGUCAUGGGCCAGCCAAGGUUAGGUGAGGCCAACUCAUUAGCUUGUGAAACUUAAAGAAGUCUUAGGUUUGGAAAAGAUGGGGCACAGGUUACAAAAAUUUUUUGAGUUUUGGAUUGAAGGAACAAAAUUGUUGAUGUCUAGCUCACAAUAUUUGAAGUCACUCUGUGCUUCAUCAUGUCAAAUGGAUUGAAUUGCUGUAAGAUCAGGUCAAAUUAAAAUGUUUAAACUCAUUUUUAAGAAACGAAUUCUCAAUUGGACCAGCCUUUCACAGAAGCUGAUAUCACAGAAGCUUUGAGUCAGAUGCAUCCAACCAAAGCCCUUGGCCCAGAUGGUCUCCCAGUAGUAUUUUUCCAAAAGCUUUAGAAUUCAGUAAGCGAAGGAGUUAUAGCCACUUGUCUGCAUAUCCUCAAUGAUGGAGGUAAUAUUGCUCCUUUGAAUCAUACAUACAUUGCUUUAAUCCCCAAGAUAGCAAAACCUAGGACUCUGAUGGAGUAUAGACCAAUCAGCAUAUGUAAUGUAAUUUAUAGGAUCAUUGCAAAGACUAUAGGGAAUAGGCUGAAGCUAAUCUUAGAUCAUGUUAUUUCGCCAACUCAGAGUGCUUUUAUGCCAAAUAGGUUCAUAACUGAUAAUAUAAUUAUUGGGCAUGAGUGUCUUCAUAAGUGGACAAAGCUAUGUUCCAGAGGUGAGAUAGGAAAUUCUCCCGCACGACACAGCAGAAACAAACUUUCCCUUUCAUUUUCUUUUCUCUUUCUCGCUCUCCAAACAGAGCAAAAGGACCGUCGGAAGAUUCUUCACUUCCAUCCAAAAUCAUGAGCAACGAAUAGUGAGCCUCCCUGUUUCCUUCCUUUUUUUGAUAUUAACAUUGUUAACAUAUACUCAUUUUAAUUUGACAAUACUUCAACUUUUUUUAUUUUUUUGCCUUUUCAUUUUUUUUGUUGAAGCAAUUAUCUGUUCAAGCUGUUGCUUAUCGAAGACUCGUCCUUCGGAAAGUCCUGCCUGCUGCUCCGAUUUGCUGUCUGUUGACUUUUCCUUUCCCUUCUUAUUUUCUUUUUUUAUAUUAAUUACUUUCUAUUUUAGCUUUUUGUUCUCUGAAUUUGUGUUAUUAAAAUGAUAAUUUAGAUGACAAAUAAUUGUUAUUCUUGUAAAUUUAGGUUUUCAUUACGUUAAUUGUUAGUUUUUAGGUUUAUUAAUGUAAUUUUUUUUGUUUUUUUUUUUUCAAUUUUUCAGGAUGAUUCUUAUGUCACCGCUACAUCAGUACCAUUGGAGUUGAUUUUGUGAGUCUCUCUUCUAUAUAUAUGUAUAUAUGUGUAUAAGUUAUAAUAUGAGUCUAUGUACGUGUAUGUAUGUAUGUGCAUGUAUAUGUGGAAAGAAAUGUUGGCAGACUUCAGCAUUUUACUCUUUUUUUUUUUUUUUUUUUGGGAGAAAAUAAGAACUGUGGAGUUGGAUGGGAAGACGAUCAAACUGCAGAUUGUGAGUCAAAAUUUCCUUUUAUCUUGUAUUGAGAGAAAUUCGAUUUGUCUUAUUUAGUGAAGGUUAUGUUCAAGAACCUUGUCUUAUUUUCUUUGUUUGAAGAGUGAUAUGUUGAAAUGAGUGUAUUUGUCUUAUAAACAUCAUUUAGGUAAUGUCUUAUGUGUGAUUGUUUUGCAUCUGUUGAGUGGGACACUGCUGGACAGGAGCGAUUCAGGACUAUAACUAGCAGUUAUUACCGAGGAGCCCAUGGAAUCAUAGUAAGGAGCCUUUCCGGUUCUUGGUUUAAAUCAGAAAGUUUGUGAUUUACAUGUGACAUCUUAACAGCAUUGUAUGUGUUUAUUAACUUAUUUUUCAUCUUUCGUUAAGCAGUACAUUUUCCAAUAAAUCUGUAUACAAGAUGAUGUAGUCCAAGAAUGGGAGCGAUAAUAUGAUGCAAAUUGUCUAAUAAAUUCUUAUGACAUAUGAUGUUGUCGGAAGUAAAAGUCUUGCAAUGCUGUAUUCUCUUUUAAGAAAGAAUAAGUGGUAAUCUUAUUUUUCCAAUUUUUUAAUUGAGCAACUGUGUGAGAUUAAUUAAAUGUGUUGGGAUUUCAACAGAUUGUCUAUGAUGUAACUGAGAUGGAGAGCUUCAAUAAUGUCAAGCAGUGGUUGAAUGAGAUUGACAGAUACGCAAAUGACAGUGUAUGCAAGCUUCUAGUGGGGAACAAAUGCGAUUUAGUUGAGAACAAGGUUGUGGACACACAGACAGCCAAGGUAUAUUCGUGACUUCUGUCGCCUGAACUUUGAAUAUAAUUUUAAACUCUUCUCAAGUGCAUUUGCUUGAUAAGUUUCUGCAUACCCAGGACACUCAAACUUUGGACAGUUUGUAUCUCAAGCUGGAAUCUUUUUUGUCAAUACGACUUGUUAAAAUAAGGGUUAUUAUCGUUUGAAUCCUUCAAGAAUUGCAAUAAAUCUAAAGUCCAUAAAAAAAUAUGAUUCCAUCUUUUUACUAUUAUAUCUAGACAAAACCCAUUAUUUUACUACAUUUCAUUGGCACGGAUAGUUGACCUGUUGGCUGACUGAUAAAAUAUCAAUUUUGCACUUUAUAUUAAUUCUUUUUUGGUUAAAAAAUAACACACAAAGUAUUACAAUAUUAUAAAUUCAAAAUAUAAAGUAGUUACAAAUAAUUCCUAUUAGCCUAUGAAUAUAAUAUUUGAUACCUCUAUUUGUGUAAUUUUUUUCCAAUGGUGAAAUUGUUAUUUUUUUUUGUACUAACGGAAAUGUAGUAAAAUCAUAAGUUUUGUAAAGAUAUAGUAGUAAAAUGAUAGACUAAAAUACUUCUUGUAGUUGUUUGAUAUAUUGUAAUUCUUAAAGUAGUCAAUUGAUAAUAUCCCCUAAAAUAAAUGUUCGUAAUAUGUUCUCAUUUUAAUGCAACUGAUUGUUUAAUAAAAUUGUAUUUCUUUGUUAAUCUUUUAUCAUGUGCAUGCUCAGUGAGAAUUUGACUUACUAGAACACAAGUUUGACUCUUCAUUUAAAUGUCUCUUGUAUCAUAUCCUUUAAUGUUGAGUGUGAUUCCAAUAAAAUUGAGUAGGGAGAUCCUUAAAUACCUUUUCCUUUUUUCCAAGGGCCUGCCAAAUUGCUCUAAGUGGUUCUACCCUUUAUCAAUGAAUAAUGAAAAUAAAAUUUUUAUUAAAGCAUUUUGUUCCUUAAAUGGUGACUAAUAGUACCCCUUUUUUUUGGAGAGGAAAGCCAAACAUGCCCAAAGAGAAUCAUUUACUUUCCUCUAAUGUAUUUUCUAAUUCGUUUUGAGCCUUGAAUGUCUGUUUUGGUGCGUAUUCUCAUUCCAUGUUGAAUCUUAUCCAUAUGGACAACCCCACUUACAAAAAAGUCUAAUGAAUCUAUUGAAGUUCAUAUGAGGUUUGUGCUUUAGAUUUAGACCUCUCUCUCUCUCUCUCUCUCUCCACUUACAUGUCUUUCACUUACCUGUCUUUCACUUACCUGUUUGCAUGCAUGCCCAUGCACACACUUUCACGAUAAUACUGUAGGGGAAAAAUCAUGUUUUUAAAUUUUAUAAAACCUUUUGAAGAUCGCUCUCAUAUAAUAUAUAAGAAUUCGUAUUCUAGAAAUCGUACCUUGAAAAUCCGAGUUGGCUUUUCCACUGAAGUGAUUUAGGCUCCUAGAUCACGAUCUGCCACCACCACUCCUGUUAGAUCACGAUCCGUCAUCACCACGCUUGUUAGAUCACGAACUGUCGCCAAUGAUCUUCCAGGUUAUGACUCAGGUUCGAUCUGCACUUGACGUGUGGGCGCCUUUAUCACUGCCAAAGCAACUAGCACGAGAAAAUUUUUCUCUCAAUCAUGGAGAGAAAAAUCUUAUUCUCUGAUUUGUAUAAAGUGGCUUCUUCCUUUUUCUUUUGAGAAAAUAAGCCUUAUAUAUCUCCCUUUAGUGAAAACCCUAGGCUCCAAAUAAUGCCCUAAAUAAAACUCACGUUAUUUUCUUUUUCAAUAGGGAACCCACCUUGUAAAAUAACAUAAGGCCCCUUAUACAAAAGCUAAUUAAAUGGAGCCUCCCACUAAAUGAUAUAUUUAGGCUUUUGACCCAAAUAGCUAGUUAUCUUACUUAUUAGUCCAGUGGUGGUGCAGUCAAUUAAAUGAGCUAACCCGGGGAUCAUUUGGGAACAUACAAUAGUGGCUACAAUAAUUAGGCCUGUAAUUAAACUAGCCUAAUUAUUUAAUUCCAAAUCUACUCCACUAAAAGAUUGGAACUGACUUCCAUAAUUGUAUGCUCGAAUAAUAAUUCGUCCCAAGCCACAUUGAUUUCUUUAGUGCACAAUCCUUUGUACCACAUCGUUAAUUAAAUUGAUAUCUCAACUGUCCAAUCAAUUUAAUAACAUCUUAUUCCUUGAUCCUUACUGGUUUUCUCUAAUGAUCAUUUUCAACAUACUAAAUAUGUUGACACACUCUGGCCAGAGAAUUCUAUGAUCAAGUGCCGAAAACCCAUCAAGAGAUGUGUUGUACAAAUUCUAUAUUGUUAAUCCAUAACUCCAAUACUCAUAAUUGCUCCCACCAAGAUACCGGGUAAUCUUGACCACAAGUAUGUGUUGUGUCCAUUGGUAACUCAAAUGGAAUAACAAUUACAAUCAUGAAAUCAUAAUUAACUCAAGAUUAAGAUUACAGUAAAAUCAACGCCUAUGAGAUUUAAUAAGUCUGACAGUUAUUACAAAGUUAAUUAAAUCUCACAUGUGAUCCUGUUCAAUGUAGUCGUACUACAUCAAUAAAUUCAUACAUGAUUAAGACAAAUCAUUCAAUGAAUUUAUUACAGUCUAUACCUAAAUAAAGUGCCCAACUUUAUUUAUCAACUGCGAACUAAAUUUAUUUAAUCAUAAGAUAACUUGUAUUUAUGUCUUCUGUGAAUCCACAUGGUGAUCACAUAAAUACAUAUAAUAUGAUUAAAUGGACUUUAAUACAAAUAUUAAUGCAAUUAAGAUAUUUGAAUAAAAUACCUCAUUUAUUUUAUUAAUCAGAAAAACUGUUUAUUACAAUUAAAUAAACACAUAUGCUUUUAAAGAGCAUAUUUUCCCAACAAAUACACGGUCACUCGUACUUGUGUUUUGGUUGAAUUACUGGCUGCUAACCUCUGUAAUUCAGUUUGAAACUUGCCACCCUUAGUGCUUCACUCAAAUGGUUGGUUAGGGUGAGAUCUGUAUCGUUUUCUUGGUCUCUUUCCAAGGUUAUCUAAAGGGAUUUGGCAGUCUGAUUCUUUAGGGAAUAUCAUUGCAUAAGAUAUCUAUUGUUUGUUAAUGAAUAAUUUCUAUUUAACUAGUUAUCUAUAUAAAUUGGUAAAUUUUAACUGCAUAAUUUGCAUGCAAUAAGAUUUUAUAAGAAUCUUGUUUUCAACUCAUGACUUAGACUAAUGUGAUAUGUUGAGCAUUAAGCUACAAGAUCUGCACAUCAAAGUGCUUCACAAUGUUAAGGAGAAAGCAUCUUUUUCUGCUUCUUCAUGUGAUUUAAAGUUUCCAAGGUACUUAUCCAAUAAAAUAUCUUUCAAGACUUUGGAAAUGCUUUUAUAUAUGACUGAGAGAAACUUGUUGGGUUGGUUUUUAGCAACAGACGGAGUUAUGGACUUUGUGUUGACUUGUUAUUGAUUAAGACAGUACAUCGGCUGAUCUAUUGGCAUCAAGCAGCAGAUGCAGAAAUUAUGGGUGGCAUACCAUUGUAUCCAAAUAACAUACUACAUUGAUUUUUCUGACUUUCUGUUGGUCUCCGAGUGAAAUGCAGGCAUUUGCAGAUGAACUGGGGAUUCCUUUCCCGGAGACGAGUGCCAAAGAUGCAAUCAAUGUGGAGCAGGCUUUCUUGACCAUGGCUGGCGAGAUUAAGAAAAAGUAAAAUCACUUAACUCUUUCCUUCUUGCCGACUGUUCUUAUUUAACAAUCACUAUUAUUGCUGGUUAUAUGCAUUGUGAUGAAAAUUCUGCAAUGAGUAACUUUUUACCUAAUGUUUUCUGUUGGAACAAAUUACUCUGGUAGAAAAGCCCUACAGGGUUUGAGAAAUCCCAUGAUGUGAUGAUUGUGAGCAUUUUAGACACCGUCUAUGGGUUUAUUUUGUGACUAUAAAAUGUUAAGAUUGUUUCUAGUUUUGGUUUGUAGUGCAUAAAAGGAUUCAAAAUUUGACAUCUGUCUAAAUCAGAUUAAUAACAUGAUAAUGUACAUAUGCAAGAUGUGAGGAAUUGUUUUAUCUCACCCCUAAACUUUAAGAAAUUGAAACAGUAUUAUUCAAAAUAUUUAACAUUUCCAGAAUUGAUAGUUGUCUAUUUGAGCAGUGACUGGUGGUUAUCAUGAACUGAUGUGCGGUUGUGGUUUCAAAUCUUGGUGAAACCUGUUGUCCUAUGCUGAUUAACAUAGUUAGUCUCUGAAACAAUUUGUUGAUUCACUAAUUAUGAGUUAAAAUUUGAUGCAGAAUGGGCAACCAGCCUACUGCAAACAAAUCUUCUGGAACAGUUCAGAUGAAGCGAAUGCCAAUCCAGCAAAACAGCGACUGUUGUGGUUAGCCGAGCAUCUUAUUUUACUUCUACAUGUUAGCUGACUGAUUGUAGACAGUUUUAACUAUGUUGACUGCAUUAUCUUAUGAAUCUUUUAAUCUGUCAAAUAUUUAUUUCCUGCUUUAAGUUCUUUCCCGUUUAUAACAAAUUUAAUUUCUUGCUCCAUUGGAUUCCAAAUUCCUGUCAAUUUACGAGGGAAAAAGAAAAGAGAGACGAAAUGGGAGAAAAUGGUCAAAUUUGUUAGGCGGAGAGAGCUGUUUAAGUAGUUUUUGUUCUCGUUUAUUGUCGUGACCCUCAUGUCGCUUAUCGAUUACCUGGAAGUCCGGUCGUAUCGGAUGGGUAAAGUUACCGAAUCGGCAUCAUUUUGGGUGAAAUAUCAUAUUUAUGUGACACUUUUGAUAAUAUUUUUAUGUGUUACAGAGUAUGAUAAUAUGGUACAGCUGAGAGCAUCUGAUUAAAUGGAGCUGCUGAUGCUUACGUGUGUUGUUGAGUUAGUUAUCCAGCUCAGCAGUAAAGAUAACGAACUGGACUGCAUGCAUAUUAGAUUCAACAAACUGACAAGCUACGAGAUGCCUCUGAUCUUUUACUAUAAAUAACAAGUUGUAAUCAUCAGUCAAAUAAUAAGAAUAUGAUCAUUUUCAGAUCUGAUUCUUUAUGAUUUUCUUUCAUUUUCUUGUUAGUUUCUCUUAAACCAAACACUAUAUACAAACUCUUUCAUGGUAUCAGAGCAAACAAAUGGCAAAUUCGAAUCAAAAUUCUGGAUCCUAUAGUUUUAUUACUCCGAUAAAACUAGAUCAUAAUAACUUCAUUGUUUGGCGAACUCAGAUUCUCACAUCCAUUAAAGGAAAUGGUUUAGAAGAUUUCAUCAAUGGAAAUCAAGUCUGUCCGGAAAAAUUUUUCUCUGCUACAAGCUCUGCUGCUGGUUUCUCAUCUGGAACAGAUAAUCAAGAGAUCAAUCCAGCUUACACAAUGUGGAUAAAGACGGAUCAAUUGAUUCUGAGCUGGAUGCUCUCAUCUAUUCAACCGAAUUUGCUGACAACUGUGAUCCACUGCUCAACUGCAAAGGAACUGCUGGAUACACUUACAAGUAUGUUUGUUUCCCAGUCACAAGCUAGAAUAAUGCCUCUAAAAAUGCGAAUCCAAACUCUUAAAAAAGGCUCGAUGUCCAUAACUGAUUAUUUUGCAAAAAUGAAAAGGAUAUCUGAUAGCUUAGCUUUAGCUGGAAAACCUGUUGAAGUGAAUGAUUUCGUUCAACAUGUUUUGACUGGAUUGGAUUCUUCUGAUUAUGAGUCACUAGUUACUACUGUGUUAGCUAGAGGAGAUAAUAUCAGUCUUGAUGAGUUUUAUUCAUUGUUAUUGAGUCAUGAAAAUCGUGUGGAACAAAAGAGAGGAAAAAUUGCAAGUGAUGUUACACAUAACUUGUCAGCUAAUGUUGCUCAAAAGCAGUUCAAUCCUGGUAAAAACACUAGUGGUAAUCAGAAGUUUAACACUGGAUCGUAUGGAGGAGGUUAUAAUUCUGGAGCUGGAUCUAGUGAUGGUAACUUCUCACAAAUUGUAUGCCAGAUCUGCUUCAUUCCUGGUCAUGGUGCCAAUAAAUGCAGGAAUAUGUUUAACUCAGCUUUUGUUCCUUCAAGAAAUCAAGGAAGAGGUAGUUUUAAUGGAAAUUUUAGGCCUGGUCAGAGGCAGUAUGGUAGAGGUUUUGGCUAUGCUAAUGGAAAUAGGUCUUCUAUGGCUUAUGGAAAUUUUGGUAAUUUUGGUAGAAAUCUUAAUCCUCAAUAUGGUGCUGGAAUUGGUAACUCUCAGUUUGGUAAUUUCAACAUACCAAGAGCACCUGGUUAUCAAGGUCAUUUGAUGUAUUCAGAUCCAACUGCUUUCAAUGUUUAUCAACCAUCUAACUCUCAUGGUGGUUACUCUCCUGCUCAUGUUUUUGUUCCUACUGGAGAUUACUCUGGAUCUCCUUCAGUCCCUGUUCCAACUCAUGCACCUGAGAUGAUUGAAGAUCCAGCUUGGUACAUUGACAGUGGUGCUACUAACCACAUCACAAAUGACUCAGGUAAAUUACUGGAUCUCAAGCCAUAUGUUGGCACUGACAAAUUGCUUGUUGGGAAUGGUUCUGCAUUGCAUAUUAAACAUAUUGGAUCAGUAUUGCUAGCUACUACUGCAAAUAAACCCUUGUGUUUAAACCAUGUUCUUCAUGUUCCAAAUAUUAAGAAAAAUUUACUCAGUGUUUCAAAGCUCUUAGUAGAUAACAAUGUGACACUUGAGUUUUUUGCAAAUGUCUGUGUUGUCAAGGCCAGGAACUCAGGGAUCACUUUGCUUAGAGGAAUUGCAACAGGGGGAUUGUAUCAAGUCCAAUCUGCAACUCAAGUCUCUGAAACUAGCUCAGCCUUGUCAUGUCAACUUUCUUCCAAUAAACCUCAGUCUUUGUUUGCUUUUCAUUCUCCUUUGUCUAGUGAUAUUUCUCCUGAAAUAAGUAAGAGUACUUUGUCUCAUCAUUUGCUGUGUAAAUCAGCCUUGGCUGUCAAUACUAGCUCAGUCGAUGUCAAUGUUUUCCAUAAAAGGCUAGGACAUCCUGCCUUACACACACUCAAAUCUGUAUUGAAAGCUUGUAAUAGUUUCAAUGUACUCAAUAAAACUCCAAACUUUUGCAAUGCCUGUCAACAUGGUAAAAGUCAUCUUUUACAUUUUGGAUCUGUUCCAACAAAAACAACUGCACCAUUACAACUUAUAUAUGCUGAUUUGUGGGGACCAUCACAUGUUGCAUCCACUCAAGGCUAUAUAUACUAUCUGUCCAUUUUAGAUGAUUUUAGCAGAUUCACAUGGAUUUUUCCUUUGACUGCUAAAUCAGAUGCUCUCCAAGUCUUCACAGAAUUCAAAUCCUUUAUUGAAAAACACUUACAACAACUCAUCAAAAUAGUUCAAACAGAUUGGGGAGGGGAGUUUAGAACCUUUGCAUCAUAUCUCACUCAAUUUGGAAUUCAGUUCAGGCACCCUUGUCCACAUAUCCAUCAUCAAAAUGGAAGAAUUGAGAGAAAACAUAGACACAUAGUUGACAUUGGCCUCACUCUGUUAGCUCAAGCUAAUUUACCACUUAAGUUCUGGUGGAAUGCCUUUCAUACUGCUGUAUUCCUUAUCAACAGACUACCCACACCAACUUUGAAUAACAUUUCACCUUAUCAAAAACUUUUUCAGCAAGUACCAGAUUAUGCCUCUCUUAGGGUCUUUGGUUGUGCUUGCUUUCCUUAUCUCAGACCUUAUAACAGACACAAGCUCAGUUUUAGAUCAAACAGAUGUGUUUUCAUUGGGUAUAGCUCUUCUCAUAAAGGGUAUCAGUGUCUUCAUUCAUCUGGUCGUGUGUAUGUGUCCAAUCAUGUCAUCUUUGAUGAACAAUCCUUUCCAUAUGUAUCUGGAUCAGACUUCUCUUCCAUUGCUCAGUCUUGCAGUCCCUUAGAUAUUUCUUCAGAGUCCAAAGUUACUCUUGUUCCAAUCCCACAAGUACAAUCCCCCCUGCAAGAAUCUCCAGCAAGUGAUUACCUACCUGCUGACACUCCACAGGUAUUCUCUCCAUCUUCAACCUCCUCUUCAUCAUCUACUUCAACAUCACAUACACAUCCUAUACAUCAUACACAAUCUCCUCCUCAUAUAUUACCUGCUGCACCACCUAUAGGUCAUCCCAUGAUAACCAGAUCCAAGGCUGGUAUCUUUAAGCCUAAAUCUUUUUUAGCUGCUUUACUAGCCAUACCUUCAGAACCUACUUCUGUUUCAGCUGCUUUAUCUGAUCCAAAAUGGUUUAAGGCAAUGCAAGAAGAAUUUCAAGCACUUCAGAACAAUCAUACAUGGGAUCUGGUCUUGCCAAGUGAACCAGUUAAGGUAGUUGGAAACAAAUGGAUAUUCAAGAUAAAAUAUCAUGCUGAUGGAACCAUUUCUAGAUACAAAGCCAGGUUAGUGGCUAAGGGGUUUCAUCAGACACAAGGAGUUGAUUACACAGAAACAUUCAGUCCAGUUGUUAAAGCAUCCACAGUCAGAGUUAUUUUAAGUUUAGCAGUUCUGAAUAAAUGGGAGCUCAGACAAGUGGAUGUGAAUAAUGCUUUUUUGAAUGGCAUAUUAGUUGAAGAUGUGUACAUGGGGCAGCCAGAGGGCUUCAUUGAUCCAUCUCGACCUCUUCAUGUCUGUAAGUUGAAAAAGGCUCUCUAUGGUUUAAAACAAGCCCCCAGGGCAUGGUUUGAGAGACUGAAAGAUGCUAUGGUUGUGAAAUGGGGUUUCCAAAAUUCAAGGUCAGACAACUCCCUUUUCUACAAGUGGAUAGGUGAUCAAGUAAUUUUUGUUCUUGUCUAUGUGGAUGAUAUAAUCAUAACAGGCUCAAGUGAUAAAAUGGUGCAGCAAGUGAUCACAAAUAUGCAAAAUGCUUUUGCUUUGAAGGAUCUGGGAAAAUUGAGUUAUUUUCUUGGGAUAGAAGUUACCAAAACAGCAUCUGGAAUUUAUCUAUCUCAAUCUAAAUACAUAGCUGAUAUUCUAACCAAACACAAUAUGGCUGACUGCAGUCCAGUUCCUACUCCCAUGGCCACUGGUCAUUAUCUUACAAAGGGGUCAGGAAGUGUUAUUUCAAAUAGUUCUCAAUAUAGAAGUGCAGUUGGAGCCUUACAGUAUGUGACUCUCACUAGGCCAGAAAUAGCUUUCUCUGUAAACAAACUUAGUCAGUUUUUAGCUUCACCAACAGCAGAGCACUGGGAGGCUUGUAAGAGGCUUCUUAGAUAUUUGAAAGGAACAAUUCAUUUUGGAUUACAUUUUUAUCAUUACGGCACUAUGCAGAUAAAUUGUUUUAGUGACUCAGAUUGGGCAUGUGAUAAGGAUGAUCGCAAAUCAGUGGCUGGUCAUGCUGUUUAUCUUGGUUCAAAUUUGGUUUCUUGGUCGUCUAAGAAACAGGCAGUAGUUUCCAGAUCAAGCACUGAAGCUGAAUAUAGAGCUUUGGCUCAAGCUACAGCUGAGGUUACUUGGAUUCAGUCCUUACUGAAAGAGCUACAUAUUCAUCUUGUCACAGCCCCCAUAAUGUGGUGUGAUAAUCAAAGUGCCAUAGCUUUAGCUCACAAUCCUGUUUAUCAUGCUAAAACUAAGCAUGUUGAGCUUGAUAUUCACUUCAUCAGAGACAAAGUAACAGCUAAGCAAAUUACAUUUCAGUUCAUUCCCAGUGAAGACCAAAAUGCCGAUGUUCUUACCAAGGCAUUAACUUUUAAUCAGUUUCACUAUCUAAGAAGCAAGCUGAAUGUCCAUCCAGGUCAGUUCAGCUUGAGGGAGGAUGUUACAGAGUAUGAUAAUAUGGUACAGCUGAGAGCAUCUGAUUAAAUGGAGCUGCUGAUGCUUACGUGUGUUGUUGAGUUAGUUAUCCAGCUCAGCAGCAAAGAUAACGAACUGGACUGCAUGCAUAUUAGAUUCAACAAACUGACAAGCUACGAGAUGCCUCUGAUCUUUUACUAUAAAUAACAAGUUGUAAUCAUCAGUCAAAUAAUAAGAAUAUGAUCAUUUUCAGAUCUGAUUCUUUAUGAUUUUCUUUCAUUUUCUUGUUAGUUUCUCUUAAACCAAACACUAUAUACAAACUCUUUCAUUAUGCAAUAAAAAAAUGCUCAUGGUACCCGUUUCACAUUGUGAAGCGCAUGAUCAGAUCAGAGCAGUCUGGAUUCUGGCAUCACAAGCGGAUGCUUUGACUUGCUUAGUUUGUUUUUUGUUUCUGAUAAUUUCUCGACAUUGGGUGGGAUAUUGUUUCUCUUUUGAGUUUCUCUUUUUAUUUUUUAUCUUAUGGAAUUUGGAGAUAGUGUAAAUGUAUGAAGAUGACGUAAUCAAGUUGUUUUGAUAAAUUCCCCUGGUCGGUUUACUUCACUAACCAUUAAUGCGCAAAACCUCCUAAUGACCCUCAAAAAUCCCGUACAUAAUUAAAGAAUUUCAAUUUUAUAUGUACAAAAAUAAAUAACUCUCAAAUAUAUUAUUUGAUAAUUCUCAAAACAACAAUUCGCUCUAAUAAAUCUCGUAGGAAAUACAUAGUCUAUAUUGUAAGUCUUUUCGAGACUAAUUCAAAGAGAAAAUACGAAGGAUAUAUAAUUGACCUUUAUCUGUCAUAAAGAACUCUAAAUAAAUUCAUAUACGCAUCGCAACUAAUUACAGUUUUGAUACUUCAUUUGGUUUUUGUUAAUUUUCUAUACGGUUGUGCUGUGCAUAAAAGUUUUGUUAAAUGAAAUCGGUGAGGGUUAAUUAAUCAAUUAAUUAAGAUCCAGUUAAUGUAAUUAAUUUUAUUUGAUUUUUUUAAUUCGAGUUCUAAAUUAAUCAAUUAAUUUAGAUUCAUGUGAAAUUGAAGUGAAUUAGUUUUGAUCUGUUUUUCGUCCUAUGUUUGUCUGUGUUUACUCUUACUUUUUUUUUGUUUAAAUUUUUGUUUUCUUAUUGUUUACUGAAUAAAUUUAUGAGCUUUAUUUGAGUAUGAUGAUUGAUUUGUGAUUCUAAUCUAAAUGUGUUGGGCUGCGAUUUAAUUGAGUGAUGUGUGAGCGCCAAAUAUUCAAUAACUGAUAAAUUAUAUUUAUAAAUAUUAAUAGCGAUGGCACAUAAACAAUUAAUUCAAGAACUUGCCCAUAGUGAUUAAUUUAAAGAGUAUAAGUAACAUUGCAGUACAGUUAGCCCUUACGUGUUUAAUUAGCAAUUGAAAACUACUGUUGCUGAUGAGGUAGAACAUUAUAACACUGUUGCUGAUGAGGCAGCUGGUAAUUCUUUUGGUGAAGAUAUUAAGACUAUUAAAGCUGAAAUGUAAUUAGAGAAAUAUAAUGAUUAAAGAGGUGAGCUUUGAUAACCAUCUCUUUAACUAUAUCACUUAAAUAACUAACUUUUUAAUAUUAAAGCUGAAAUUUAAUUUCCACUAUUUUUGAUAUUUGUUUGGCUAAUGCUUUGCUUAGAUUACUUUUUGUUUUUGAGAUUUUAUUGGCUUAGUCAUGGGAUAUUGUUUUCUCUUCUAAUUUCUAUCUUUAUUGUUAUGGGAUUUGAUUGUAGUGUUCAUAUACGAAAAUUAUGUAAUCAAGUGCUUUCAAUAAAUCAUGAUCGAAUUACUAUUAAUUAAUUAAAUUAAAUUUACUCAAAUUACUCAUGUACACGAUCAAAAUAAUUUUAAUUCUAUGAUAUAUAUACACGCGCGCACACACAAACAAAAUGUAAUUAAUUUUGAAAUACAAAAUAUUUAAAAUAAUCACCGUACUAACAAUUCACAAGUUAGAUUUUAUAUGAAUAGACAGAAAUAAUGUUAAUCUAGCAAAUCCAAUCAUAAUAAAUUGAUUUUUAUUUAUAUUAAUUAUGUCGAACCAUGCUAUUUUAAUAAAGAACACUCCGGUGUUUAUAUAUCCAACAGGUAAAAUUUCAAAACAAUAUUUGCCAAAGUCCGAUGAAAAGAAUAUACACGCACACACAUAUAUAAUCAUACAACAGAAGGAUAAAUAAAAAAAAAAAUGAAGUUUCAACAACUGAAUAAUGCAAACUCAUUUUUUUUAAACAAGCAUUUUAUUGUUUAAUUAAAAAAUUCGAAAACCCAUUAGCCUUAUAUACAUGAUAAAGACUCACCGACGCCGAACCAUAUUAAUUUAACUUAGUUUUCAACUGAAAUUUAAAUUUUGAAAUCACAUACACAAACACGCCCAAUUUGAAAAAAAAAAGUAGUAAUCAUAAAAUAUUUCAAUCGUCCAUUGUUCAGUCACCAAAAACCAAUUUACGAUCUAUUUCAACGCCUAAUUUGAAAAAAGAAAAUACUAAUAAUAAAAUAUUACAGUCGUCCAUCCUUUCACAAAUAAAAAAUAUCACCAUAAACAUCGGGUAUAUGGGCUAACAAGUCCCAAUAUUGUCCUCCAUCCUUUCUGCACUUCUCUUCUAUCAACGGACACUGAUUGAUACUUAAUUGCAAAAGUGAGGAAGGCAGGCCCUUCUCCGGAAAGUAUUUGAGCUUGGGACAAUUCUGGAGUCGCAAUGAAGUGAGGUUUUGAAGAUCAACAAUUGAAGAAGAUAGGCGUUCCAGAUUUGGAAAAUUGAAAAUCUCCAGAGAUGUUAGAGAGGGAGGAAGAGGAAGCGCGGUCCCUAAUCUUUUGUCCUCUAGUGGAAAUGACACCAUGUCGUCAUCGCAUCCUUCGAUACGUAGACGUCGCAGAGAGGAGAAUCUGUGAAAUCCCCGGCCCCGCUCAAUCAUUGACUUCCAAAUCUCCAUAUUACCCCGAAUAUCAAGUGAAUGAAGGUUGGUGGGAAGGCCAUCAUCUUCUUCAAGGCUUGGAAGCGCACCUCCUAUUCUUAAUUCUUGAAGAGAGGUCAGAUUGUGCAAUCCCUUGGGUAAGGCCUCUAGUCUCUUACAAUCAGUUAUCUCCAGCCUCGUGAGUUUCGCACAAGGCAAUCCCCCUUCGGGAAAGGACACCAGAUUUCCACACCUCAUUAUCCGUAUGUCUCGAAGCUGGCGGAGAUUAUGUAAACCACUCGGUAAACUUUUCAGAUUUUCACAAUCAGGAAUGUAGAUUGUUUCAAGAGAUGAGUUGUUGUCCAACAUUUCUGCUAUUGACUCCAGCUUUGAACAUCCCCGAACUAAAAGGGACUUAAGAGACGGAGGUAGAUUGCCAACUUCAAGGGACUCAAGCGUGGCAGGUAACUCGUUUUUUGAAAAUAUACAUGUCAGAGACGAACAACUCUCAAUGUGUAAGUGCUCAAGAAGAGAUGACGUGUACCUUCUGCUGCUUCUGCUGCUGCUACACUGGAUGCCCUCUUCCACUGUCAAAGUCCUUAUAUUAUGGCAACCGCAGAUCUUCAAAUUCUUAAGGCUCGAUGGUAGCCUGACAGCAGCAAUAUAUGUCAACGAACAACAAUAGUGAAUAUUCAAGAUCUCGAGAGACGAAUUGGUGUCGCACAUCCAUGCCUCUGGUAACGAUUUCAGUGCAUCACAUGCUCCAAUAUGAAUUUUCUUCAACUUGGAAGGCAGAGCAACCUCAGGAAAGGAAACAAGGGAACUGCACUUGUAGAUUGCUAUCUCUCUCAAGGAACUGAGGCUGAACGAUGAUUGUGGCAGCUUCACAAGGCUUUCGCAAUCACUCAAUUCUAGAUAUUCAAGUCUGCAUGACAAUUCGCAGAGCUGCUGUUGUUGGUCUUUCUUUUCCUCCGCCACCAAGGAUUGAAGUUUGGGACAGCUGUCAAUCGUCAGUCUUUUGAGAGAGCAAAUGUCUUGCAGUAAUUCGUUAUGACUCUUCCAUAUAUGUGUUUCAUUUUUAAUAUUUUUUAUCUCCAAUUCUUCCAGUUUUGGUAUUCGCAGCUUCAAUGGCCCUGCGAGAAACACUUGAUUUGAUGUAUCUCUACAAACCACUGAAUUCUGUGAGCCGAGAUGAUCAAUUGCACUUCUCCACACAACCUUUUUACAUCCAUCAAUCUCUAAUUUGCAAAGAGCUGGAAGACUCGUAACUGAAACUGACAAUUCUUCACAUCCUCGAAUAACAAGCAUCUCCAAUGCAGGAAGGCAUUCUGGCAAUGUUCCUUGCAGUUUAGAACAUCUUAAAAUGCUAAGCUCUCUCAAUUUAGGAAACCCUUCAACUCCCUGACCAGAUCUAAGAGGAAUCCAGUCUUCCCAUUCUCGCAGGUCUUCAAAAUGAAGAGUCUCCAAGCAUGGAAAAGGAAUCCGAGAAUCAUUCCCAUAGAACUCUGAACCCAAACUCUUUACUCUACUCAUUCCACCCACUUCAAGAUGCUUUAGAGAGGGUAGUUGCCCGACUGACGGCAGGGUAGUACACACGCCACAAUCUUCAAAUUUAAGUGUUACUAAAUUUGACAAUGAGGAAUCUCCUAACCAUGUUGGAAAUUUUGUACCUCCAUAGCCACAGACACAAAAUUGUUCCAGAUUUUCAUGGGGUUUGAGCAUGUCAAGCACGCCCAUUUCAGUUUCUGCCUCCCUUGAAGAUGAACCAUCGGUGCUGCAAGUCCAAUUAAGCGAUAAUUCUCUAAGAUUCUCCUUUACAUCCAACCGAGCCUCCUUUGCAUCACCAAUGUCUUUUACAUUCCCUAAAUUUGAAAUUUUAAGUGUCCCCUGAAGAUGUAUCAAUGACUUUAGCUCUCGUAACCCAGAACCAUUGUCUUUUCCCACAGCAAAAUUACUCAAAGUCUGAAGACAAGUCAGCUUACCAAUUCCUACUGGCAUUUCCUCCAACGAAUCUGUAUUUGAAUUAUUGAGAUGAUGCAAUUUGAUGAGGUUUCCCAUGGCUGCACACAACUUCUUCAGUCGCCGACAGUCUUCCAACAGAAGGGUGUGCAAAUUGUAAAGCUUGCUGACUGAUUCAGGCAGAGUUUUAAUCUCAGUUCCAGACAGGUUAAGGUGCCUUAAAUACCUCAAAUCACCAACUGAAUCCGGCAGCUCGGAGAUGUGAUAUCCACGCAAAGAGAAGACCCUCAACCGUUGGAGUUUGAACAACUUAGGAAGAAUGCUACGAGCCAAGUAUCCACGCGAACUCUUUGUCAACAUUACUGGUAAAAAAGUUCGCAAAUGUUGGAUAUCGUACAAGCCCUCAAACCUUUGAACGCCAUCACAAAAUCCGCGAAUGUAUGACAGGUGACGAAUAUUUUUGGAAAAACUUUGUUGCUUGUUAACCUCUGAGGUAUACUCCAUUGUGAAGUAUAUCUCCCCCGCAGCCCAUUGAGCAAGGUCGUUGACAAGGUCGUGCAUCACAAAUCGUGAUUUAUUGUUGCUUGAUUGCUGGAAAAAAGAUCUUGAACGUAGCUCUUGAAAGAACUUUCGACCUAGAUCUUCAAUAGGAUUCCCACUCUCUUUGUGAUCCAAGAAACCCGAAGCACACCAUAAUAAAAUUAUCUCCUCCUCUUCAAAUUCAUAAUCCUUUGGAAACAAUGAGCAGUAUUCAAAGCAUUGUUUCAAAGGUGCCGCAAGAUAAUAGUAGCUCACUCUAAGCGCCGGUAUAAUGUCACAUCUCUCUUCGGGUAAAUCCCAUAUCUUGCAACUGAGCACACCUUCCCAAUCACUCCGGUCAAGUUUACCACGUAAGAGACCACCAAGAGUUUUCGCAGCUAAGGGCAAGCCGUUGCAUUUGAUCACUAUCUUCUUGCCAAUUUCCUCCAAUGACUUGUUUGAACUGAAAUCUCUUGUCCCCAAAGAGUGUUGAGCGAACACAGACAGACAAUCAUCAUUUGACAGCUUUUUCAAUUGAUAAGCCGGAGCAGUCCCCAUGAUGGCUGCAACCCCUUGAUUACGAGCUGUGACAAUAAUCUUACUUCCCGGUGCGCCAGCUUCAAAUGGAGGUCUGAGUCGAUCCCAAUCAUUGUAAUUCUCAUUCCAAACGUCAUCUAAAACAAGCAAAAAUUUCUUUUGAGAUAACUUCUUCUUCAGCUCCUCUUGAAGCUUAUUCAAGUCGUGAUUAUCCACAUUCUGGUCACUAGCAAUUGAAAGUAGGAUUGAUUUUGUAAGCCUGAUAACAUCAAAAUCAUCAGAGACGCAAGUCCAUGCCUUGAGAUCAAAAUGAUCCUGCACUUGCUUAUCAUUGUAGACAAGCUGAGCGAGAGUGGUUUUGCCCAGCCCGCCCAUACCAAUGAUAGGAAUAACAGAGAAUUCACCAUCAUUUCUCAAAUCAUCCCUCAACAACAAUUCAACAAUUUCCUUCUUUUCUGUUUCCCUCCCAUAUACCUUGGCUUCAUUCACCAAAGAGGUUGUGGGUAGUCUUUGCCUAUCUUUUUUGGACCUCCCAACUGAACUUACGUUCAAACCCAGCGAGUCUUUCUGUGUUACAAUAUCUUGAAAUCUGUCGUUGAUCUCUUUGAUUUUGGACAUUAUGGCGUAAUCGAACUGAAUCGAUUGUGGAGUAAAAGUGGUGCAGCAGGUAGGAAUGAGCUUCCGAAACUUACUUGUUCUUGUACGACUGCUACUGGGUUGAUCAAGAGCAGCAGCUGGAUCUCGAUUUCCAAGCAGCAACUUCCUCCGGAAAGCCUCAGUUUGAAACUCAUCCAGCAAGUCUUCAACAUCA
rnacentral:lncRNA from 1 species